UUUUUUUUUUUUUUUUUUUUUUUUGUAAGUGGGGAAGGGAUGGAUUAUAAUUAGUUCCCAAGGCCAAAUCUAAUUAAUAUAUUUUUACUACUAAGAUUUAAUUUAAAAUUAGGUUGGCCCAUUCAAAGUUAUAGAGUGAUCAAAUUUCUCCACAUUACUAACGAAUUUAUCUAUCUAAAAACAAAGAGCAAACAACGAAGAAAAAUGGAACAAAUCAAAAUAAGGAAAUUCCUAUUUAAUUUUAUUAUUUGUCAUCUUUUGCUUGUUGAAAUUUGUUAUAUUCUCUGUGGCAUUAUUAAACAAUGAAUUGAUAAAAAGUACAAAAAAAUAUCUCUCUUUUAUUAAUUUCCCUUGAAAAUAAUCAAAUUCAUGUUGAAUUAGUUUUAUGUUUCUAUAUGUUGCUUUCGAUUUAUUACAUUUGAAAUCAACUAUUCAUGAUGAUAGUUAUAGUGACAACUAGGGAAAAAAAAAGGCACCAAAAAUUUGCAAAGAUUAGGUAAUACUGAGCUGGUUAUCAAUAAAAGAACAAAUAUGAUUGAGAAAGUUUGACUCGCGUGAGAGACACAAAUAUAAAAGCGCCAAUAACGCUGUCAAUUGAAAAAAAAAAAGUAUAUUCAAUAAUAAUAAAUCGAAAACAUACAAUUUUAGUUGUUUGAGAUCCCUGAAAUUAGAGGUCAUGAAUUCAAAUCCCCUUCUUAAACCCCACCCUUGCCUCGCUAAAAGAAAAGUUUUCUGUAUAUAUAUAUAUAUAUAUAUGUAUGUAUGUAUGUAUGUAUAUAUGUAUGUAUGUAUACACCUUGUACAAUCAUAUAAGUUUUCUUUUAUUAUAGUUUCAUUUAAUAUUUUGCAUCCUAGAACCUAAUAUCUUUGUAUAUCUUGUAUGGUUAUCUAUGACAUCUAGGGACAAAACCAGAUAAUAUACUCUGACGAAGCUAUUUUUAUACACAUGCAAACUUUGCAGUCAAGACAUGAGUUUUUGGAAGUUUUUUUUGGUCUUGAGGGAGGGGGAGUUCAAUUCAUAAAGAACACUGUUGAAAAUUUUCAAAACUUAAAGGGGAAAAACAUAUGAUUGGGAAGGACUUUGGUUUGGUGGGCGGUUUUCAUAGUAGAUGUGCGAUAAUUUGCGUCUUCCAACGUCCAACCUACCUAUUGCACUUUUUCCUUCCACACCUGUCUACUAUUUGGUAACCAAUCCAUUAGGGAAUAGGGAGUCCAUUUCGAAGUUUACUAGGCCAGGAGUUCCCAUUCCCUAGUUUCCCGCUGGAGAAUAAGAUAGAAGUAAAAGAAAAGAGACGGAGUGAUGGACCCUAUAUCCACGCUGCAGCAUCGCUUUGGCGAAACAGCAGCUCAAUAGUCUCCCUUCACACGCAAUACUAUACUGCUAGGACUAAAAUUUUCUCGUUUCUUUCACGUCUAACAACUCUCUUUCCCAAAUCUCCUGUUAUCUUGGAGAGGAAAUGCAAGUGAUACCCAGAUGGAGAAGUAUAUUGAUUUUGAGGAAUUCAGUGAUUCAGUCAACAGCAAUUGCAUCAACAUCAAGAACCCAGCUGGCUGAUUUUCAUUCUACAACAGUUAGCCUUGAGAGAUGGAACAACAAAUGGCCUUCUGCCGGUAAAAAGACCCCUGUGAGUAUAUUUCUUUAGCACCCAGAAUAUAAGAAUCCCAUUUCAUAUAUGAGGAAAGCCCUGUUCGUUUUUCAUGUUCAGAAUCAAAACUUUGCUUCUUGUUAUCUGAUUACUUACUAAUGAUGGUUCUUAGCUUAGGUGGUGAUGUGCUAAGAUAUCUUGGUUGCUUGAAUAUUGGAAUUUUGUUGAAUGUGUGCUGUUGUAUUGUACAUAUGGAAUGACAGUUAUGUUGUGGUGGUAAAUUGUCUUUUUUGGACUAGAACCAUAAAAGGGGAUGAAGGUCUCAAAAUAGAUUUUCAAUUUUACAUGUUAAAGUCUGAAAUCUAGAGGUGCCAACUUGCAUGGUGUAAUGGCCAAUUUUAGGUGACACUGGAUGCUGCUUAGUUGUUUGAAUCAAUUUCAGUGGCCUGAGUAAUGUCCAAUGAGAAUUUCUUUUUGUUAUUUGAGUUGCACUGACAUAAAGAUUUGAACUUGUUCACAUUUUUCGUAUUUCUUUCAUCUUCCUUGAUUUCCAGGCGUGUAUCAGAAAAUGAAAUGAAUCUUGGUGUUUAAAAAUGUUUCAGGGGAAUAGUUAGCCUAUUAGUAUUCUUUUCAAUUUUCUAGUCCAUUGUGCAUAGGUAGAUGAAUAAAAAAAUCUCCAAUUUUUUCUUUCUUAUCAUCAUCUUGCAAAUUUGAUAAUCAGUGAUUAGGAUGGUGGCAGAUUGUUAUCCUGGCUCUUCUUUUUGUUUCCACAGAUGAAACUACCUUACCCAUAAUCACUUGUUUCAUGAACUAAUUUCUACAAAGCCUUUGAUACUUUUUGAAACGCUUUUCAGAAGAUGCCCUAGAUUCUGUUUACAAUGAUCAGGAUUGCAGCAAUUAUUCAUAAUUAUUGGACCAAGAUUAAUGGAUUUAUCUUUAGGAUGUCUAAUUUCAUAUGUGUUUGUUGGGGGGGGGGGGGGGGAGGAUACUUCAUUACGUUAAGAAAUGGCAGAGAAAUGCGGUUGUACUUAGUAAGACAAGGCAAAAGACAAUUAAACUUUUUGGGUGCGAAGCCGUUAAUACUAAUGAUCAUUUAUUUGUCAUGUAUGAGCUAAGUCCAUUUAUCUGUUGUAUGUGCUUGUGCCCCUUGGUUGAUUUUAGUUGCCUUGUUUUGAUGUCUAUCAAGCAUUCUCCACUUACCUGUUAUAGGUUAGUCCUUUUUAUUUGGUUAGUUUAUUACUAAUUUAGAAGUUUGACAUAUAAUGUCUGCAGGAUGUGAGAAGUGGCCAGAAACCAUCUAAGGUAAACUCCUAAAUAUAACGUUUUAAAAUUUCUAGCUGCUUCUCUGAACAUUCAAACUGAUUGUCAAGUUACCUGUUCCACCCCCUCAAAAGAAGUCUAUAUUUAUUGGAAAAUCUAAAAUUUGGAAUGACCGCUUUGAUGGUGGGUAAUUUUAGCGGGGUGUCCAACUUGUUUGUUAAUACCAUGUCAAAGUCAAAAGGAACACCUCAAACUUUAGUUCUGUUGUUGAUAAGGAAAUCUUUGAUCCAUUCUUUUCAUGUGCAAAAUGUUGUAUGAUGUCCUUUGACUUACCUGAAAUUCCAAAAGGUGAUAAAUUCGAUCUAAUAAAUUAAAAUAUAAAGAUCCGUAUUCUUUUCCUUUCAAGUUUUCUACCUAGGGAUUAGGUAUACAGCAAACUCAAAAGGGGGAGAAUUCGCUUCUUGUUUAGGGUAAGUUACAUUGAAAGUGGUGAGUCUUAACUAAACUAGUUGUACAGCUGCUGAAAUUUGGUUGUAAGAGAAUGUGCAAAAAGACAGUCAAUGAAAGAAAAACAAGGGUGUACAAGUGUAUAUCUGCUUAAGCAACACUCUUUCUCCUCCCCUCUUGCAUUUCCUGUUAAUAGCCGUUCUCCAUUUUCCUGGAAAUUGAUUCUAGUCCUUCACUGUUCUAACUUCAUUCAUCAGUUUUUUCAGUUGUGGCGAGAAGCCGUUUCUAGUUCUCUACUGUUCUUCCUUUUCUUUGACUUUGUAAAUUUCAACAGGAUUAUAUAAAAUACAAAAUUCGUCAGAAGCGUGCUGAUACCAAGAAAGCACUGAAAAAUCUACUCUUCAAUAGUGGAGCCUCCAGUUCUGUAUUUGAGGUAGAUCCUUGGACACAUGAAUGAGAUUUCUAACUUUUCUGGUAACUAGAAAUCCCUCUCCAUUGACUUGUUCUGUUUUUAUGCAUGUGAAUCCACACUGACUUUUGUGUCAGUUUUUCAUGAACACCGUGCUUGAUGAAUCUUAUUGUUGUAUGUUUACUUCCAUUCAAAUCAUUAAUGUUUCCCCUUUCUCUGUGCUACAUUUGUGACUGCCUUAAGGUGGAGGAUACACAUUUUUUAGGUCUAAAAUCCAUUUUUCUUGUAGCAUACACUGAAAUGUUGAGUUGUAAAAUUAUCAGGGAGUUAUACAUAUCUUUCAGUGUUGGCUUAUCCUAUACUUGUCGAAUAGACUAAAAUGCAAGUUGUUUUUUUCAUUCACUUUUAAAAGUAGACAUGUAUUUGGUGCUGAGAUUGCAAGGAAUUAUUUACAUACUAGGGAGUAAUUUAGUUACUUCUUAGCUCUUGGCUAAUCAGACUGUUUUUGGGGAUUCAUCUUUUUCUUUUCAUAUCAGACUAGCAUAGUGGUAAUCUGGUUUAAAUCUAAGAGCUGAAGGGUUCAGGUCAUUCUGGGUUCCUGAAAGAGUUGCCGGAUUGCUCUGUGAACUGACCCCAGAGUAAGGUAUCGUGGAUGCCAGCAACUUUCAGAUGUUAAGAGUAGCGUCUGCUCGGUGCCUUGUGUAGGAUAGAUUGGUUUUUGUUUGUGGUAAAGAGCCUUGCUUUUUCUGGACACUCUUGAAAGAAGGUUAUGCCAACGAUCUGGUAACCCAUGUAAACAAUCUAUUUAGAUUUUAUUUUCAUUUUUUACAAGGAAUAGCUUUAAGAUAAUCUUAGAACUCUCAUCCACAUUAGAAGCAUUUGAGGAUUUAGCUUUUUCCUAUACGACACACAAGAUGUAUUCUGAGCAUAUAAUCUGAUGAUAGUUCUGGUGAGAAGAUCCGUGUCCUUUCCUGCUCUUGUGUCCAUGCUUCACUUUUGUUAUGGAUCAUCCUUCCACGUACUUCAACAUUGACUGCAUGGAGCAGGUUUUUAGAUUUUGCACCAAACAUACUCAGAAUUAUGGGUCAGCCAAUUAAAUGAGAGUAGAAGAUAUAUAUAAUCAUAUUCUUGCUUCCUUCUGCACUUAGAUUAUAACUCUUUCCAAUCAAAUCCUAUAUCAUAUGACACCAGGAUGAAACCAAAUGUCGUCUUCUUCAAUGCACAAGAAGGAAGAUGGGGAAAUUUACAUUCAUCUUUCCCUUCUUUACAUCAUUGCUGAAGAGAGCUAUAAAUAUUUUAAUACUGGUUAACUAUGAAGACCAUCUCUUGUACUUCAAAAGCUGGUGAAACUGAUUCAUUCCUCAUCAUAGAUUGCAGACUGAAGAAGUUUCUGCGAAGAACAUGUGGGGUACUAUUAGAAUUACAAGAGGGGGUUAGCUUCAGGUUAACUUUGACAUUUGCCCGACUGCAUCAGUGUUUGCUAAAGGUGAUAUAUCAUCGCCAAUUGAUAAAGAGAGGGGGUUAUCUUCCUUGUCUUUUUUCAUCUAGAUGGCAUAGUAGGAACCAACAUGAAACAAAGAAACUAGAAUUUGCAAAAGCACAAAAAAUUCCUUGUGUAGAACCCAUUUUUAAGUUCAUUAGACUCCGUUACUAGCUUCAAAAGGGGCUAAUUAUACCACCACCAAUUUUGAAUCUACACAUUUUAUCACCGAAUUUUAAUUUUACUAUGGCUGCUGGAAAAGGUCGUACAGCUUAUAUUUCAACUCAUCUGCCUUGGAAAGUGGGGUUGUUUAUCCAAAUAUUGAUAUUUUUAUUGGAAAUUAUUGAAAUAUUGUUGGUUUUAUUGAUCUUUAUAAAAUCUCUUAGAAAUCAAUUUCCUAGCAAUUGACUUCUUCUUUCCCUAUGACAUUUGUUCUUUUUCAGCAAAUCUUCCUCUUCUCAAUUUCGAGGAAAUUGACUUCAAAGUUCAUUCCUAGAAGUUGUUUUUCCUAUCUUGUGAGAAUACCAAUUUAAACCAGCUAUAUUUGUUUAAUUUACGUAAAGAAAAAAUAGCAUGAUCGAGGUAAAUGAACCUUGGAUAUGUAUUUAAAUAUUUAUAUAUGGUCUCAAUAGUGCAACUUUUGGUAAAGUUACUUUUUAUUUUUAUUGCCUAGCCAAAAACCUUAUAGCAGACAUGAAAAUAUUGCAUGACCAUGAAAUCUGGAUUUCCUUUCAAACAAAAAAAUAUCUUGGGUGUAUUAUGCGUACAUGGCACAACAGAGAUGUUUAAGGCCAGAUUGCUUGCUUAGAGAAUUUACAAAGUUGCUAAAAUGAGUUCUCUUGUUCACCUCUUACUUCAGGAAUGGAUAUCUGUCACAUUAUUGAUGUUCUGAAUUAUCCUCUUCACUUGUCUCUGUUCUCUUCUUUCUUUUCAUAGUAGUACUCAAACUUGUCAAUUUUCCCUCUUUGUAAAGCCCAAAAGCUAUCUUUUUGCUAACCUUUACAGUAUUGUUUUUCAUUUUAAUGUGUUAGUUUUUACACUAGUGAUUAUAGAUACUCAUUACCAAUGGUCAAUUGCUUCUAUGAUUUUCUCUUAACAACCCAGGAGACAUUUGCCGAAACAGAUACAACAUGGGAUGUGGAUGAGGAAGAACCUUUGGACAAGAAUGACCAAUCUAAGUCUUCUCAUGCUGCACGUCGUGCUGCUAGAGCUCAUCAUAGGAGAAUGAAGCGUGAGUUUCUAUUUUAUGGCCUACUUUUUGAUGCCAUGCGGGGCAUUUGGUCUUAAUAGAGUCCUCUAUCUCUCUUUCAUUGUGUUGCUCUGUAGCAUACAUACAUCAUAGACAUCUUAUUAGGUUGCUCUGGAGCAUACAUACAUCAUAGACAUCUUAUUAGAUGUGAUGAAAAAGAGCUGUUGUUUGUACAAAAACAUGCUCUGUAUUAUCAACGAGUUUCACUUUGGACACAUUUUCCCCAUCUUGAGCGACUCUUUGUUUUCCUUGCAUUUGUAUUUUGUUUAGUUCUUCUUUUUUAGGAAGGGCGUUGCUUACAGGAAGCGUAUUGACAUUCCGACAAACUAACAACGUGCUGCUGUAUAAGUAAUUUUAUAAUAUUGUAAACACGAAACCAGCAGACUAGUAUUUUAUUGCUUGUUUAUCACAAUGGGUUUAAGGUGAUUGUCCUAAUGAAAGCAUGAUAGACCAUGAUAUUUACAGAAAAAUUUCGUAGUAUCUAUUCAUUCCUUUCUUGUUUAAAAUGAAGACCAAGCCCUUUCCAUUUUCUCAUGCUUAACAAUUUUCCUGCAUCUUCAGGUAAGUUAAGAAGAGAGAGAAAGCAUGAAGAUGUUGAUGAUCCAGAAAAUAUUUUCCAGGCAUCUUUUGGGAAAAGGUGGUGUAGUUGGUCUUAUUGGAGAGAGCCCUCUUAUCAGAGUUUGGCAACUGGAUUUGACUUUAGAGAACAUUCCAACUGGAGUUCUAGAAGACCCAGAGAAUCAGAUAUUGAAAGUGAGGCAGAGUCUGAUACUGAGCCUUGCAUUGACAGCACAAAUUCUGAUAGAAAAGUUCUUGGUUUGCCCCUGAAAGGUCCUCUGCAGAUUCAGGAUGUUAAGAAUGCGUGAGUUCUUCAAGAGAGAAGUACUCUAUGUUCAGUAUAAUUUACGAUUAGUAUACAUGUAUGUACAACUUGUUAAAUUGUUGAAAAUUUUCUUGAUGUAGUUUUCGCUUGUCAGCUCUCAAAUGGCAUCCCGAUAAGCAUCAAGGCCCUUCACAGGUAAGUUUAUUUCUUGUCUAUUGAUUGUCUAUUAUCACCCGAAAUAUGCACAUGCAUUACUUGUGUUUAUCGUGAAAGAAACAUGUCAUACUUGUGUGACAGAUUUAGCAUUGCUGUAAAUCAGAAACUGGAACAAAUUCAAUACAAUACAAAUUGGAAGAAGGUUGAGAUAGUCCCCUUUAGGUUUUUAGAAAGGGAGGGCCAGAGAGUGGGAGGAAAGAGGAAGCAAUAAAGGAUAAUUGGGCUGCGAGAAUCUAAGCUAAUGCUAAGAAGAGGAAAUUGUACAUUUACCUUGGGCUAUAUAUUUCUCAAGUUACUGCUAUGAGUAAUGAAACUCUGUUCAAUCAUUUUAGAUUGUUGUUGGUUUUGUCAUUUUUGAGUAUUAUUUCUUCUGUGGUUGUUAAUCUGGAAGAGAAGUUCCUUUAAGCCCUUCUUUACCCUUGUUGUGUGCAAUAUGGGCUCCCUGCAACAUGAUUAUCUACUCUGUUGCAGGUAGCAGCGGAAGAGAAGUUUAAACAGUGUGUAGACGCAUACAAGUCAUUGUGCAGCUCACUCUCAACAGCUUGAGCUUCAAAAUUUUCAGUCCAUUUUCCUCUCAAUUAUUGGGGAUGAUAGGUGGAAGAGACAGGUGGGUUCUUCCUUGUGUUUAGUUCUGACUGCCCUUUAAAGAAAGCCAAUUAAAUAUAGAAAAUAGGCAAUUAGUAUUUUAGUUCACCCACGAUACAAAGCUUCAUUGCUAGCAUUGUAACUUUUGUUUCUCACUAGAGUAAUAAAGAUGGUUGGCCAUUUUUGUGUCAACAAUAUUGUUAGGUGGAGUAAAGGUUGUAUCAUUAAUCUUUUGCUAGAAACCAACCAAAAGUCAAUUGGGAUCAAUCCACAAAAUAUAAAGUGCUUUUCUUCUCUUCUCUCUAAAGCAACUGGCAACUAAUUCAUGGUUGGAUAAGAUAUUGAGGGCUCUUGAUGGAGAAAAAUGACAUAUUGGUUAUGUUUUACAUUGACAAGUUCAUAUGAAUAACUCCCAAAGUAAAUGGUACAGAUUGCCUGAUUAGGUCUUAAACUCUUGAGGGAAUGAGAAAAUGUGGGUAUAAAAUGGACUGGUGAAGCAAAUGUACAGCUCAAGAUGUGUAAUAUCAGCAUGGGAGAAUGUUUUGCUUCUUCAGUCCAAAAUAUUCAGUGUGACAGCAGCUUGAAAGAGUGUCUACACAUUCUGUCCAAGUUCAACUUUAUUGGUUCAGAACAUGAAUAUGUUGCUUUCUUAAUGUUUAUCAUUAAUUACAACAGCAUACAUUAUACCUUUCCUCAGCUAUUGAAGCCUUUGGGCAUCAUGUUCCUCUGUUGAGGUGUUGCAACUUUAUGCAGCUGCAUUAUAUACCCAAUAUAUAAGCUGCAAUAGGCAGUGAAAUAUGUACAACAUAUGAAUAAAGUUUUAGAGCUGAGACAUAUUCAACUCUUAUGGGAUGCAAGUAUCUGUUGUAAAACCUCAAAACUGAAUCUCUACUUGGUAAUCUUAUUCCACAUGUCCUGGCACCUUUGGUAUUUGGUUAAAAAAAAAAAAAAAACUUUCAGCAGAUGACAGAAAUGCUAAUCCAUAUUUGAUCUUAGCAGAAGUCAGAAAUUUGUCUACGCUGCUCAGCAAUUUACUGUCAACUCAUAGAAGAUGACAGGAUGUUGUAUAUAUUGAAGUAAGUUUGAACUUGCCAAAAAGAAAUAAAAGGGAUGCUUGUAUCAAGAAAAUCUAAGAUGGGCAUUGAUACUUGGUAGCGGGAAAACAUGUGUAAUUAAUAUCAUAUUUACAUGAGAAAAUGGCCAUUUAAAAAUGCAUCUCAUAUUUACAUUGAAAAAGUUUCAUUUUGUCGUCAACCUUUUUAUUUUAACUGUGCCAAUGACAUUAUUGAUGUUAAUAUCAUACAUGUUUCUUGAAGUUUUGGUAUUGAGACUUCGCUAUCCAAACCUGAACAUUUCCAUCUGACUCGAAACAUUUUUUAUGUUGCCAUUCAAAAUUUAACACCAAAACCACAAAAUUUUUUUUUGAUAUAUAUAUAUAUAUAAGUAAAAGUUUGGAUGAAUUCGACUUAGGUGUCAAACAUAUAUCCGAAAGCACAUGUCACUUAUGGGGGGAUUUUAUAUAGAUCAUCAAUUAACAUAGUUUUCAUAUUGGUAGCGAAAUUCUCGAACACCACUCCCACCGUUUUUUAAGAAAUAAGAAAAUAAUCCGUCCUUGCUAAAUUGAACAAACUUGUGUUCGCAGUGCAAAAGUAACAAGGUCUGGUUUAAACUUGCACCUUUGGUUCAUUUAUGCUGCACCCAGACAUCAAUGAGCCUUUACAGACGAAUGGCCCAUCAAACCAAACCCCAUUUUUCAGUAAUUUCUCCUUCUACCCCACCAAAAAAAGUUUUUUCUUUUUCCAAGUAAUCAUUUUUAGCACAGAUGAUAUGAACAAAAAUUUUCGCAGCACUAAGCAAUAUAAAUGUGUAUUUAUAAAACAAAACAUUUCCACAGAAUCAGCCAAAGGAGGAAAAAAAAAAAGUAAUAACCAAAAUCCUAAAACAGAUAAAUAAUAAUGAUAAUAAUAAUAAUAAUAGAGGAAAGUUAAUUUUAGGCUCUACUGAAGCUAGAAGCAAAGAAGAACAACAGAGGAAGACACCACAAACCCAUAAAUCAAGAUCAAGAACCCAAAAUGCAGAGCCCAGUUUCUCUUAAACUUGCCAAAAUAACUCUCCGGUGGUUCUUGAUAAGGCACUUCCAAUUCAUCUCCAUACUCAUCAAUUACCCCACCACCACCUCCGCCGCCGGCGCAGCUGCUGAUUUUCAUCCUGAGCUGCCUGAGCCUGUCAGUAGCCAAGCCAAGAGUCAGCUUGUGACACCUCCUCUGAUACUUGAACCCAUUGAUGCACCUAAGAGUCUGAGCCACGGAAACAUAAAAGAUCAGAUGAGCUAAAGAAAGCAAUCCAAUGGGUACCCAACAAUGCCGGCAUUGGAGCCUUGGGGACUGGGAUUGAGCUAGGAAGACAAGACCCAAGAAAAGGAAGAAAAUUUGGAAUAGUUUCCAAAGCUCCUUUUUCUGGACGUCUACUGCUCUUUUCUUCUCGAGGGUCUUCUCGAAAUGGAGUUGGAUUAUGGUGUUUAGUGCUUGCAGGGCUGCUUCUUUUGGGAUGAGAUUGUGGUGGUGUGCGGCAGCUGUGGGGUCGUAUUCCGCCAUUGCUGGUGGAGCUGAGUGGUAGUAAAUUGGUUGUUUGCGGGAAGGGACGGCUGGGAGAUUUGUGGGCUGUGGCCAGUGGGGCUGUUUUGGGGUACGAACCAACUUGGCUGGAAUAUCAAAGGAUGCCAUGCUACGUGCAAAUAUAUUAUGUUAUUGUUUAUCAUUAUUAUUAUUUGGAAAAACCUCCCACAUACUAUUACUCCAAUUGCAGUUUACACCCUUAAAGAUUUUUGUAGGAACAUUUAUAUUGAUUCACAUCUUUUUCUAUGAAUUAAAUUAGCAAUUGACUUGAAGCGUGUGAGGUGCAAAUUCAAUCUCUGAAAAACAAUUUGAGCAUAAUGUGCCUCGUUUUUAACGACCCUCUGUUUUCUUUUUCAACAAAAUAAGUUACCAGUGCAUUUUUCGUGUUUUCUUUAACGAAAUAAGCUAUUCAUAUCUUCCUUCCACACAGACAUAAAAUUUACGACUAAAUCUCACAAAUGUUUAGAAAAAGGAAAGGCAAAACAAUAAAAAUAAAAAUAAAAACCAAAUAUAAAAAUCCGCUAACCUCUCUCUUUUUCCAAUUUACUUUCUUAUUUGGACAACAACAAUACAACCGACAAACUCUAUUAGUACACAUAUAGAAUCAUCCUUUCUUAUUCGUGUUUGGUUGAGGCCUUUUUGCAGAAAAAUUAGUAGGCACACAAUUAAGGAAUAGUUUUGAUGUCCUAAACAAAUUAUACCUUGCCCAUUUUUAGUCAAAAAAUUCAGAGGAAUAUUAAUUACAAAAUCAUAGGAAAAUGACUACAAUGCAAAAUAAACAACUUCAAGAAAACUAAGAAGAACAAGUGGUAAAACAUCCAUAAAUUGUUCUUAGAUUCUCAAAACUACAUAUUGGAAGAAUAAACAAUAUUAAAAGACAACCUCCAAGGCAAUAGUGGUGUCCCUCUUCUCCUACCAAAUCCUCUUCCACUCUUUCUAUUUUGGUUUUCUUCCAUUUCUUUUCUUUUUUUAUGGGAUUUUUUUUGAGGUUUUUUUUUUUGUCAUGAAGAGAGAUAGUUUGAUGAUUUAGCGUAAGUUAGUUAUUUCCUUGAUUCAUGAUGGAUGGUGGUCACGUUUGUGGAGGAAGGAGAUGGCUAGAGGCUUGAAUUAAGGUGAUGAAAAUGAUGAGAAUAGUGUUGUAAUACGUCAUUGGAGCAGUUUUUGAUUGUUUAUGAGAAGAAAGAAGAAUGAUCAAAUGAUGCAUUUUAACUAGCCAUUCAACCAAUAACAUGGAGGCCACACACCGGUAUUUUCAUCAACAAAAUGCACGGUCAAAUUAACACAUUAUUACCAUUAUUUUUUAAACUGAGUUGAGGGUGUAAACUGUAAAGUGCAUAUAAAAUCUUUGAAGGGAUAAUCUGUAACUUUGGUAACAGUCUGUGGAGUUCUUUUGCAAUUAACUCCUGUACAUUUUUUCCAUAGACUCCUGUACAUUGAGUUAUAAAUUUUUGAAAAAUGUAUUGUAUUGAUUUUUUCAACGGUAGGGAAAGGAAUGUGGGCCAUAAUGCAUUGAGAGUGGGUGUCAGUGUCAGGCGAAAGAACAGUACUGAAACGCAGAUCAAACCAAAUGCGGAGAGGAGACCAAAAAAAAAAAAAACAGAGAAUGGUGCUGGGUGCAGUCAAAGAAACCUGCAUGAAUUUCAAAAAUUUCUUUAUCGUUUUCUUCUUCUUUUGAGACCAGUCCAACGAGUCAAGUUCUUAUGGUUAUAGGCUAUAGGGACAAGAGACAUGUGAUAAUCAUUUAUCCGCUUGUUGAACGGGUGCUCGUAGCUACUCGUUAAAAUAUGUAUUUCGGAUGAUAUAUUUUUCAAACUAUAUUAUUAAUUAAAAAUUAAUAAGUAUACGUAAGGAUAGAUAAAAUUUAAUAAGAAAAGUAUAUAAAUAUAAAAGAGAAUAAUAAUUAUUAGUACGUGUAUAAAGAGUACUCCUUAGAAAAAUUCAAUUGUUCUUACCUACUUGGAGAAGUGGAGAGUAUCAGGAUAGAAAUGAAAUAGUGAAAUUUAAACUGCCAAUUUAGGAUGAGAAAAUUGAAUACAAGCCUGAACAGUUGUCAGUAAUAACCGCUCGAAAUAAUGUAAUAUUUUUUGGACAAAGUAUAAUUCUCCGUGAAUUAUUUAUAAAAGUUAACAACAGAGAUAUAAUUAUUACAUAUAAGAUCCACAUGAAUAGUAAAUAGAAUAUCCAUAUGAACAGUAAUAGAAUAUCAAACAUCUAUUAUAUAUAAUAGAUAGAUAAAAUUUUUUUAUAAAAUUACAAAAUAUACAAAAAAAAAAUAUUACACUAUUCAAGUCCUUCCCCGCCUAUGAGAAAAUCAGUUGGAUUCUUGAUUAUGCAAGUCAUAGUUGUCAUUACUUUUGGCACGUUUUCACAGUUGCAUUAUUGUUUGUACACUUUCAUCAUUGCAAAGUCCAUUGGAAGUAUAUUCGCAUUUACAACGAAUUUUGACUAUUUGUGCCGCAGCCCAUAUCCGUUGGCUUUUUCUAAUGUUCAAAUUUUGAGUAAGGAGAAGAUAUUAAGGUACAUGUCAUGCAUUAUAUAACAAAUUAUACUUGAUAUGGAAGAUAUUCUUAGAGUUUCAAUAUUGUGAUUAAGUUUAUCAUUUUUUAGAUUUGUUGUUUCAAAUCUAUGUAUGUACGUUAAGUUGAUUUUAAAAUAUAUGUUUCAAUAUAUUGUUUGAUGUACUUACUGUCAUGAGUGCAGAUAUUGGAAUGAAAUCAUCCUUUUUAUCUAAAAAAAAAAAAAAAUUAUGCAAACAGUUCGUUUAACUAAUUAGUCAUGUUAUUAAUUAAAUCUAAUCCUUUUUCAACGAAAAAAGGUGAUGUUUAUUAAAAUUUGACAUGAUAACUAGCAUCCAAUUUUACUUUGGAUGCAAAAUUAAUAUGAGGUUUCUUGGCCCCUUGAAAUGAUGAACCGGAAGUGAAAAAGGAUUCUUUCCUAAGUGACCCGAAAAAAGUUUUUUUUUUUUUGGUGAUCUGAUUUUGAAAAGCAGUGAAAGUGUAAAAAAUGUUCAUCAUUGCUUGGCCGAACCUCCAACUUUGCCGAGGCAGGGUUAUAGGAAUCCUAUCGUUAUAGGAGUCCCCUCCUUCUCCCCUAGAUUAGAUUAGAUUAGGUUAUAUAAAUCCUAUCGUUGCGAUAAAAAAAAAAAAGUAAACAACGGGUGAAACUCGGGCCGUUAUAUCCGGCUUCGGAGUGAACUCUAUUGCUUAAGCCUUAAAGUAUCUACUGGAUCCAUUCAAAUCCGGGUCACAUUAUUGCAUUCUCAAACUGGCAAACUUUUUUUUUGGGGUAAGUAAGAAUUUAUUAGCAACUAAGAACCAAAAUAACAUACAAAAUACGUUUCAAAUCAAUAACUCUUACUUACACAACUUAUAUAUGAUGCUGAUGCUAAUUCCACAACGGUCUGAGAUACUUUGUGUACUGAAUGCAAAUGGAGUAGCAGCAACUAACACUAAAAUUUCAACUUGAAUAAAUGUUCGUUGGUAACAACCCAAAAACCUUUGUAAUCAUCUAUUAGUAUCUGUCUUCUUGACUUUUUUGAAAGAGGACAAUCUGCAUUUGACUGCCUCAAGGAUCUCUUCUUGAAUAACUUUUUGUAUCCCUGCAUUCAUUUUCGAAUUGCCUUGCAUUCCUUUCUUUCCAAAUGCAAUAAACAACAGCUACUAACAAAACUCUGCCUUGGGUUUUAGCAAGAGAUUUGCCUUUUAAGUUAAUUCCAAUCCAGUCAAUCAAUUUGCUCCAAUUGGUCUGAGGCCAUUGGACAGCACAUUUGGAUUUGAAAAAACUCCAAAUACUAUUAGUCACAGAGCAAUCAAAAGACAAAUGACUUGGUUUUUGAGGACGACCAUCCCAGCUCGGCUAUACCGAGUUCAAUCCUUUAUUAUUUGAGACGGGUCGCCACCAGUUUUGGUCACCCCGGCUAGAUAUCACGUGCGGGUAACCGAGGUAACUCCCACACCCACUGGUACCUCGAAUUGGUGCUGUGCUUGACACGACAUCCGAGGUCUUAUCUAAGAACCUAACAUUUGCAUGACGGACAAGACAUUUGACGAGACUUGUCUACAGCUCCGUCCUGUCAAAUCGGACUGGACACGCUCAGUCCCUGCCAGGUCUUAGGGAGUUGGAGCCCAUUAUUCCUUCCUCCAACUUGUCCCCUAUAAAUACCACUCUCCCUCAUUCAGAAAAGGAAGGAGGAGAAAGAUAGUAAGAACUCUAUUAUUUUCAUUUCCAUUACUCAUUUACCGGUAAACUAACUUAAUCAUUGGAGUUAUUCCGGGGAAAAAAACCCCGUUUAGUGUGUGUAUCAGGAAGAGUACAUCACCAAGUCCCUUCGUUCAGGAAGAGGACGUAUUAGGUCAGCUCGACUUGACCGUCCAAAAAUCACCUCUUCAGUUUUCAAUGUGAAGUCUACAGAACGUGCAACUCACAUUGGAGACAAUUCCCCAACUAAUUAGUCUAUCUUGAGUUGAGAAUCUUUGCUGGAUAAUCAACCAUAGUAUGAAUGCAUAUCUUGGUAUGGUAUUUGCCCACACAACCUUUGCCCAAGAAGAAGAAGGCCGUCUAAUUCUCAAUGUUUCCCAAGUUUGCUGGAUAGAAAACUCAGACUUGCCCCACAAACUCUUAUCUUUCCUGACGAGGUUUAGCUUCAGACUAGGUGGAAUAGAGGAAAUUACCUCAUGACAUAGCCAAUAAUGCCUACCAUGGCAAUUCAGCCAUCUCCAAUGUUCCCCGAAAAUAAUAUCACUGACCAUGAAUACAUCACUUUUAGAUAGAUUUCUUACCCAAACUUGAUAGCUGAAUGAAUGCAUCACUCUUAGACAUACAUAUUGAACCUCCGGGAAGCCAAUUAUCAUACCAUAGUGAUGUAUCUCUACUAUCUCCAAUCACAUGAAAAAAGUGAUUUGUCACUCUAUCUCUCAGUUUUAAUAAUUUCCUCCAUAUCCAAGAACAAUCAUAGGAUAUUUUUAUGGUCCAAAUACUCCUACCUUUCAAGAGAUAAGAAAAAACCCAAGUUAUCCAAAAAGACGAAUUGUCUCACUUCAAGAUCUCCACAGCAAUUUGCAAAUAGCUGCAGGAUUCCAUUCUUCAAUUCUCUUCACCCCAGCAAUUUGCAAAUAGCUGCAGGAUUCCAUUCUUCAAUUCUCUUCAACCCCAGGUUGCCUUCUUUUUUUGGGAUGCAAAUAUCCUCUAAAGCUACCUUAGCACCAGAAUGCUUAAGAUCCUUGCCCUUCCAAGGGAAAGAUCUCAACACACUCUCCACUUGUUUAAUGAUUUUUUUUUGGCAGGACAAAAGGACUUGAUCAAUAAACUUGCAUGAAAAACAGAACAGAAUUGAUAAGCUGGACUCUACCUGACCAAUAUACUUUUAAGUAUCGUGUUUGAGCAAAGAAUAUAAUUGACAUUCAUUGGUUUCUAAGGCUUUUUGCAGUAUUUUUAUAUUCAAAUCCUGAUCGAAUUCGAAGAGAAAAGUCUUGAUUUGACUCAUUUGCUAUAUCGAAUAAGUAGAUCCAGGUCCAAUCCGGGUAAUCAGAAUUGAGGGAACGCCAUGAAAGUCCAUCCACUUAGAUAUUAUACUUUUAGCUUUUGACUUACUUUCUUUUGUGUCCCAGCAACAAAAUUAAAAUGCCUAUUUUUUUUUUUAAAAUAAAGUUACGACUAACUCAAUGCUGACCGUUUAAGCUGGUUUAAUUUGAUGUUUUAAGGGAGUAAAACUGACCAACCUCAUAAGCUUGUUUUCAGUUGUUUUCGAUUCUUAAUAGCAGAGUCAAAAUUCGAAAGUAACUAUUUGGUACUUAUGAUUUUCAAUUUUUUGGAUUAAAAAGAAAAACUAAAAUCGAGUUUUGGGAAACAAUUGAGAGUAGAAAUUAGUUGACAUUUUUGGAAUAAAAAAAAACUAAAAUCAAGUGUGCAAAAUGAUUGGAGAACAGUGUAGCUAUAUUUAUGUGCACUUCUUUAGCUGGCUCCACACCUUGGAAGUCACCCUACUCACAACAUAUUAAGGGCAAAACUUUGAGAAAAGAAAUGCAUUCGUUUACGAUUGCGUACGAGUUGAAUGAAGUCAAGUUUUGAUUAAGCGAGCCGAAAUGAACCCAUUUUACUAUGUUCAACAUGGAAAUUAAAUACUAUCAUCAAUAAGCACCUUGUAGAACUUCGAAGAAAUCAAGAGUAAUACUGAUCAAGAAAGUUUCGACUUACUUCACUGCUAUUGAAACAGAAAUCAAUUACUAAAUCCAAAAGACAAAAAUUGAAAUAUACCAUUCUACUACCAAAGCUUAUAUAUAUGUGUGUGUGUAGCCUUAUUCUGCAGAUCUAUUGGUGUUCGGUAGAAAUUGCCUCGAGAGUUUGAGCUCUCAACUACCAUUUUCAGCAAACUCAAGAAACCUCUUCCUAUGUUCAAGUGUUAAUAAACACUAAUUCAAUGUAUGAAAACACUUAUAUCCAUAAGUGCGCACCACAACAAUCAUACUAAUUAUAUCAAAAGUUACCGGAAGGCGCCCCAAUCCCAACAAAUAUAAGGCAAAGUGAAAGAGAAAGGAUGCAACAUCUUAUACCAUUCAUCAUAUGGGUAUUCUGGAUUUUGAGGUGAUAUUGAGAUGGCCCAAUAUUUGAACUUGAAUUAUUAUAUAGUCCAUCAUUAACAACUUGUACAUGAUUUUCAAUGCAAUAUGUAGGUUCCGCAAUAUAGUGAUCUAUAUUUACCGUACUAUCUUCAGUAUGAUUUACAUUAGGCAGCAAAACUCAUGAAUUGGCCCGGUCUGCUUGAGCUCCAUCAACGUCAAGCUCAAGCAGCUUGAACUAGCCUUAAAGUUGAGUUUGAAUCCAAAUAUACUUGAUUUAAAGGUUUGUCGAACCUAAUAGUAUAAAAUUAGACGCAAGCCGCAAACUUGAAUUUGACUAAAUUCAAAUUUGAGCUCAAAUUUAAGUUUGAAUUUUACUAGGAGUUGACUCAAGUUCAAGCCUGGUAAAAUUAAAUUGAGUUUGUCCGAUUAACCAGAUUCAUUGCCAACUCUAACCAAUGGUGUUUCAGUUCUUUAAAACAAGCUUAACAGUUUGGCACUGUUGCACCCUUUAGUCGUCGUGGUCAACCUCUCUGCACUCUGUGCCGGUUGACUUAGGGGUUUUUUUUUUCUUGGGUAGAAAAGGAGGAGACUCAAUUGACUUUGGGUCUUGGCACUUUGUGCCCGUUGACUUGGGUCACUAUUGUUCUGUUCUAAAGCAAUUCAUUUUGAUGCUGUCAGACUGUUUUUCUUCUUUCACGAACCCCUAUCUAGAAAUCAAAAUUGUGAUUGGUUGUAACUUGUAACUAUGGCUGUGGGCCUUUUCUUUUUAAAGCUAACUGUCGCUGUGAGUUUAAAAGGAAUGAAAAAAAUAAACGCACUAUAAUAAUAUUAAUCUAGUGGCCGCGUAAAUUAGAGAUUUUGAAUUCAAAUCCCUCUUUUCCUCGUAAUUUUUUAAAUCUCACCUCUCAUUUGUCAAAAAAAAAAAAGUAAAUUUUGUAUUCUGCUGUCUACUGCGUGUAUUUACUAUUGUCUCCUUCAGAUAAAGAAACUAGUAGUAAAAUAAACUCCAGAACGAUAUGUUGUGGUUAACAGCGUUUUCAUGGAUUGACUUUGGUCCAGCCUUCUUAAUAGAAACUGGAAGACAUUGUGGUAGAUGGUAGAUGAUGAUGAUGAAAGAAAUACACAAAAAGAUGUAACAUUAAAACCGAAGAUACCUAAACGAGAACAAGGGGAUCCACCUUCUUCUCUUUCAUGAGGCUGAGAUUGCAGGAAUAGGUCAAUCCUAACUGGAUUAGACUUUGUGUGAUCCCAAUUUCGGAAGGUCCAGUUGUAUCGUCCCCACUGAUGUGUGAAAGUCAAAGUUUUCGGGCAUUUGAUCUUUGUUGCAGAACAUGCUUAGCAAACAAAUUGUGGUUGUUUACUUGUUGCAUGUGCAUGAUCAAGAUGUAUCGUGAUUGUGUUGUUGUUUAGCACAUUUUUUCAAGCCUUGGUAACUUUUUGUGUUUUCUUGAUGCAGUUAGUAAAGAGAACAAGCAAAUUUUCUUUAUUUAAGUUGUCUUUUUUUUCAAUAACAAUAGAAUAAAUUUACAUUACUUCAAACACUAGAAUCAUUAUGUAAGUUGCUGUCCUUUGAGUUCCAGUUUUUAAUUUGAAUUGCAAAAGCUUUUUUAGUUUGUGUUUUUAUUCUUAUUGAAUCCACGACAAUCUCUUCUAGUUAUAACUUAUAACCACUCCUGAUUUAAAGAUUACAAACGAGUUCAGUCGAAUUGAAAUUUAAUCUAAUCGAGUUGAGCUCAAUUUAAUUUUAUCAAACUCGAAUUCGAUGAGCUUUCAGUGUAAAGGUCGAGUUCGAGUUUGAACUCAGUUUCAAUCUAGUCGAGCUUAAAAAAUUAUUAUUUUUAUGUUUUAAAAAUAGAUAGAAAUGGACAUUUCACGCUAAUAAAUAAUAGAAAUAUUAGGGACAUGAAUGUAAUUUCACUACUAAUAAAGUAAGAAUAAAAAAUUAAAAAUAUAUUCAAGUCGGCUCAACUCAAUAAGCUUGUCCAACUAGUUCAAGUAGUUUUGAUCAAACCGGCUCGAUUGUUUUGCGGCCCUACUCUUAUAGUAGCAUCAUGUUUAGUGUCUGAUGUCUUGGGAGUCACAUGGAUAAAAUUUUGAUAUGUUACCUUCAAAUAUUUGAGAUCUGAUUGAAGCGAGAGUUCGAUAUGUCUAAAAUCUAGAUAAGCAAAGAUGUUUGAUAUGUCUAAAAUCUAGAAAUAAGCAAAGAUGUUAAGUAGGCAGUUUACUUACUCACAUCCAAAUACAAUUAGUGAUUGACAAUUACAUGUAAAUUUCAAAAUUACAGCGUUUGUGACUUCGCUAAAACCCAAAGAUAGAAUAGAAGCAACUCCCAUUGUCCCCUAUCUAGAGCAUCACCCAUGUGGUUUUCCCCUGAUCAGGGGAAAUUGUAACAUUGUUGAGUAGAAAGACAUAAACUAUACUGAAUGGUCCAUUUCCUCUUCGGUUUGGAUAUACACAUUCAGUUGUUGAUCACCCUACAGUUGGCCCGAAUCUCUCCAGCAUCUCCAGUCAGGACACCAAUCUGACCCAUUCUGACCAUUGCAUCAGCAAACUUAUUUUGCCAAAGAAGAGGGUUUUGAGCAUUUUGAAUCACUUGAUUUGCAGUUGAGGGAUUUGCCAAAAGAGUUUGGUCGGAAGUGAACAAGCCUCUGUUGGCUAGAAUGUUAUCAUAGUAACAUGUAUCCAUAAUGGUUGGGGUGGAAGGGUCCAUUGGCACCACUAAGUUAGGAUUGCUUAUGCUCCCUUGAGGGCACUGCUGUGCUAGCUGAGCUGCAUAUGAUGGAUCCAUACUCGGAUCCUGUGUCGUCGUGGUGUUGAAGUUGAAUAGUCUGUUGCUGAAUGAAAUGCAAUGUGAUCGCCCAAUGGUGUGUGCUCCUGAUCAAGUAAAAGUUAAACUUUCAAAUCAUAUACCUCAAUUAUACAUCGUGUGCUUUUCGGUUAUGUUGAAAUUGAUGUCCCAUGUCUUACCUGAAAGCGUUACCAUUUCAUCAGGCCGAAGUCCCUUAUUUGCAAAUGCUUGAAUGAGUUGGUUGACACCAAGGGCAGGAGAUGGCAAGUUUGCUGAUGCCUCUCUGGAUGAUGAGAUUCUGCCGUCUCUUCUUCCUGCAGGAACAUCGUAGCCAGGCCCUCCUGUCUGCAGGAAAAUACAAAUUUCAUGUUCUGUGCUUUAGGAUGACCAAAUAUGAAAGCUGAAGAAGAAUUAUAGGUCUCACUAUUUCCACACUGUCCCUUGCUGCAUAAGCAAGUAUAUCAGCACAUGAGACGAUUCCUGGACAUAAGAAUUCGAGUCUACUUUUUGCAUCGUCAAUGACUUCAAAGCCUCGAAGACUAGGAUUAUUUGCUGGUGCAUCUUUCUCUGCUUGAUUUGAAGGAGUGGAAUCAAUAAGCACCGAUCCGUCACAUCCCUGUAGAACAACAAAGAAGACAGACUAAAGGUUAUGAAUCCGGGAUCCAAAACAUGAUCACUGUCAUUAGCUGAGGAGAUAAUUCGCUUUCUAACAAUCCAAGUAUCUUGCGAAAGUAAAGUUCAAGUUAGCGAUCAUUGAUCAACUUACUAAUUCAAACAGCUCUAGUUUGUCAAAUGCCGAAUUUUGAAACUUAAAUGCUGGAAAGGAUUAAGUGACAAUCAGCUCUACUCACCCGAACAAAACAAUCGUGGAAAUGCAUCCUAACUAGGCCUGCAGCGACUCCCCUGUCAAGAAUGAACGCAUCCCUUACUUCUUCUUUGAUCAUAGAUUCUACAAAGUCACACACUCCAUUAUAAAACCCCACUUGGAGCUGAGCAUUUAAGGGAAUUACACAUUGGUAUACCACUAGAAUAAAAGUUGACAAUAUAAAACUUAGCUUAUUUGAGGCCAUUAUUGCUGUGUCUGCAGGGUUAUUGGUCUCAUAAUUCAGAUACUUAUAGGGAAUUUAGUACAGUAUCAUGCUAAUUACUAUUUACGUAAUUUGGGCUAAUCAGCCUAUAGUAUUUUUAAUCUUAUAAUGCGAUGUUAAAAGGCAGUAAGCUGUAAAGUCGCUUUUCCUUGGUUACAUGAAAAUCAGCAAAAGUGUUCUUAUUGAGAAGAAGAUGCAAAACAACUGGAGUGGGGUCUGACCACAAUUACUCGUAUAUCUUCCUGUUAAUACUAUGCUAGAUCCUAAAGGCCCUGUAAAGGGGGGCUGUUUAAAAAGGUUUAUGCAUCAGCUAUUUAUCAAGUCCAAUUGUGUUGACUUCCAUGAGAAAAAUCCAAGGAUAGUGGUUAAAGAUGGAAAGUUCUUAUCCAUUCAAGAUCCUGAGCACGUACAUUGUUUAAAGCUCACUGAUUAAAUCGCAUUUUGGAUUUUGUGCUUUCUAUCUAGCAUGCAACAGGACUUGAUUGGGAGCAUUCUAUGAUCUCAUUUACAACUUUGUGGUGUCAAGUGGUCCUAUCUUGUUGACUUUUUCCUUCUUCUUCUGAAGUAUUAAAUUGAGCAAUUGUUGGUGGGAUUUAGUUGAGCAGGUUAAUUUAUCUAUUAUUGAAGAUAAAUAGCCUUGCUCUGAUUCCUGAUGAACAACGCAAAUCUGCAGAGAUCUGCUGGAGGCAAAAAUCAUGCAGGAUAAUGACGCUUGCUUAUGUGAAAAUAAUGAUCACAUGCAUAAUACAACUGCACAAUGACGGCUACUUGAUUGAAAAGGAUGAGUCGUAUUGUUAAUUCAAUUUGAUAGACCAUUAACAUGAAUGCCGUGUAACGCGAGUUCGUGAUUAGAUCUUCUGAAGACCACCAUCCCUAAGUUUAUCAUCUACAAACGACCAGACCAAAAGAAUGAAGUCUGCGAAUUUCUUUUUCAAUUUCCACAAGGGGGAUUGUUGAGAUAUGCCACUUCUUUGCACAACCCUCUAAAUUCUUUUGAUACGAGAAUAAUUUAGUUAGUUGUUGAAUAAAUAUAGUUGUUAGAAUAUUUAUUAACAGAAAAUCAUGUUGAGUUAUUAACAAAUAUUUUUGCUAAGAUUUGUUAAGUAGAAGAUUAUCUUAAUUUGCUAGUAAGUAGUUUUGUUGAGAUUUUUAUGAAGAAUUGUUAACUAAAAAUUAUGUUAGUUUGUUGUUUGUAAACACUAUAAAUGGUGAUUUGAUGAAUGAGGAACAAAAGCUCAAUUUCACCCCACAAUGCAAGUGUUACUCAACUAUUGUGUUGCAACACUAAGUCUAAGACUUAGUGUUGUUUCUACCCUAAAUUCCAAUAAAGUAGAAUCAAGAGUCUAAGCCUUAAGGGAUUGUGUGUGUCUUUCUUGAGAGUGAGUGAAGGAUCCCUUUUCCGGUGUGAAACUAAAUACUUAUGGCUUGUGAAAAUUGCAAAGAAAGCUUGAGAUGCUUUCAAAGGGACUUUCUAAGGCAAUAAUAGAACAAGGCAAAUGCAAAUCUUGAAUUUUAGGAGGACAAAUAAGCUUGGAUGGUUGUCAACAAAAGGAGGGCCAAUUUUUCGUGGCUACUUAUUUUGCAAGCAAUAAUUCCAGUGCUAAAACUUGAUUAAUAGUUGGUGGUUAGUGGUUACACUCAUUGCAUGGGAUAUGAUGAAUCGAUAUUUUGAAAACUUGACAAAUCACAUAUCUCCAAAAUCAGAAUUGGAAGAAAAGCUUAUAUUGAUGUGAAAGGCAGAUGUAGUGUUGCUGUUAAUUAUGGUUCAUGUACCAAAAUUAUUUCUGAUGUAUGUUUUGUGUAUAUCUAAAAUUAAUCAAAAUUUGUUGAAUAUUGGACAGUUGUUGGAGAGGAAUUAUUCUAUCAUCAUCAAAAAUAGAACUUGUGUUAUCUAUGAUCCAUGAGCUUCUCUCAGUAAAAAUGAGAGGAAGAAAUUUUUCUUUGAAUUUGUCAAAAAUUGGCAAUUCUAAGGUAUAGCACAGUGACCCCAAAAAUUUAGAAAUUGAUAAAAUUCAGAAAGUGAUCAUUGAUUAGCCAAUCAAAAGAGUUUAUGUUGUGAAGAUUCAUGAAAAGAUAUCUAAAGAUGAUGGUGGUGACAAAUUAUCGAAUAGCCAUAAAAAAAUUUGAAGGAUUGUUUUGUCUCUCAUAAUAAUUAUUUUGUAGGUUGCGAAUUUCUUACACAAAUUUAUCUACUAUAUACAUAGAAAUUAUUUAGAUACGUCAAGGAUAUUAUCACUGAUUUUGAAGUUUGGCCCAAUAAAUCCAAAGAAUAGUUCAUUAGCUUGCAAACAUUUUUACAAAGGAUUCAUCAAAAAAAAAAAUAAUGUUUGAAGACUUAAAAACAGUUGGGGGCCUAUUGCAAAAGUAGCAAGGAGUAAUGCUAAGAUAAGUCACUUCUUAGCUUUUUCCAGAUUCUUUUAUUAUUAGAAUAAUUUAGGUAGUUGUUGAAUAAAUAUAGUUGUUAAGAUAUUUGUUAAUAGAAAAUCAUGUUGAAUAGUUAACAAAUAUUUUUGUUAGUAAAAUUUAUUAAGUAUAAGACUAUGAUAAUUUGUUAGCAACUAGUUUUAUUGAGAUUUUUAUGGAGAAUUGUUAGUUGGAAAUUAUGUUAGUUUGUUACCUGUGAACAUUAUAAAUAGUUAGUCAAUGAAUGAAGAAUAAAAGCUGAUUUCCACCCCUCAAUACAAAUCUUAGUGAGCUAUUUUUUUCAACACUAAGUAUUUGUCUAGCAGUCUAUGCUGUAAAACCCAACAGGCAUUUUGUUUAAGGACUAAUUACUCAGUUCCACUGUUGUUACAUUUUUUGCCAUCAGUCAAUUCCACUGUUGUUACAAUUUUGCAAUGCAUGGCUGCCUUCUUUGUUUUCCAUUUCCAUUGGCAAAUAGCUGCAGUUCUUCUAAGAAGUCAAAAUUGUAUAGCAAGUUCAAAAUUUUAUAGGCAAGUUACAAUUUGGCAGUCAAAUCCCUCUCAUCUUUGCCAUUUCAGCCCCAUGCUCUGCAAGUGACAGAGUUCCCUGAAUGGUUGCAUCAGUACAAAGGAGCCUAAGAAUUUAGAUCAAUUAACUGAGAUGAUGAUGAAUGGGACUCUUUUCAUCUUUCCAGGGGGAUCUGUUAAUUAAAGAUUACCUGAUACAGCAUGAUUUUGAUGCCUGAUGCAGUCGAGAUUUCGUGAAAGAAAAAAAAAAAUCCAUGAGUGGGAGGAAUAGUAGGGGAGAAGAAAAAGCACUCUUGUUACUUGGAGAAAUGAACUGGGAAGCAGGCUGCAGUUGGAGGUACAAUUCAGAAUAUAACAAAGUAUUGAAACUUUUGUUUUUUUUUUUUUAUUCUCAUUAUGUUUUCUCCCUCCUGAAGGCUUCAAGAAACACACCUUCUUCUCCUUGCUAUGUGGAAUGAUAGUAAUUCAAUCAAACAAAAGGGUCCAAUUAGAAAUGAAAAUAACUUCUUGCUAAAUCCUGAUAAAUGGAUAUCCCCUAACAUGUUUACGGUGGGGGGUUUUGGCAGUUGAGGUCAAGAUCAAAGCUUUAAGGAUUUAUGACCCUGCAGUUGGAUCGAAUUUCUCCAGCAGUUCCAGUAAGAACCUCAAUCUGACUCAUCUUUACCAUUGCAUCAGCAAAAUCUUCCUGCCAUUCUCGCUCGUUGAAUGCAUAUUCUCUGACUUCUGAAAGACUCUCUGGGCUGGUGAUGAGGGUCUGGUCGGAUGUGAGAACAACACGGUGUGCCAAGAUGUCCCUGUAAUAGCUAUUCUCGAAAAGAGCUGGACUCCUAUUCAUCGGCACCACCAAGUUAGGAUCAACAUCUCCUUGAGGGCCUUGAGGGCAUUGUAUCUUCAGUAGUGCAGCCAAGAAGCGGUCCAAGCUCGGAUCUUGACUGUUUGCUGGGCUGAAAUCGUAUAACCUAUUGCUGAAUGAUGUGCAAUGAGAGCGACCAAUUGUAUGCGCCCCUGUACACAAACAAAAUUCUUAGCAUGUUACUUAUGAACAAAUAGAUUAUGCAAAACCAAAAUAAAUCAGAAUUCAGACUUGAGCUUCACCUGAAAGUGCAAUCAUCUCAUCUUGGGUCAUAUUCUUCUUAGCAAAAGCCUGAGUGAUUUGAUCUAAAUUUUGAAAGGGUCCAGGAAUGUCUAUAGUCUCUGCAGCACGUGAGAUACGUCCAUCUCGCCUGCCUGCUGGAACACCCCAUCCGCGGCCUCCAGUCUGCAUAAUAUUCCCAGACAAAACAAGAAGUGCUUUUCAUUUUCUAGUCGAACAAAUCAGUAUGUGGUAGCAUCCAAUUUAACAAUUUUCUCAUGUAUCAACCAGCCAAAAAAUCUAUUACUAUUGCUUUUCUUUAGACAUUGUUGGUGUUUCACUCACAAUCACGACAGAGUCUCUGGCUGCAUAUGCUAAUAUAUCAGCACAGGACACAACUCCUUUGCAUUCUGCUUCAAGUCUGGCCUUGGCAUUGUCAACUACUUCCAGACCGCGAAGAGUGAUGCCAUUUGGAGGACCGUCCUUCUCUGCUACGUUUGUUGGUGUUGAAUCAAUGAAUAAGGAGCCAUCGCAACCCUGAAAGCCUUGUUAAAUUAGUACUAAUUGCUUGUUUAUGUCAUAGACUUUGCAUACUUUUUGUGACAAGAUGAAAACCUGAAACAAACUAGUUUCCUUGAAAAAACUUGACACUUGGGAGGCAUUACCCGAACAAAGCAAUCGUGGAAAUGAGCUCUGACGAGACCAGGAGCAAUUCCUUUAUCUUUGAGAAAGGCUUUGAGGACUUCUUCCCCUAUGAUUGAUUCUGUGCGAGGACAUCUACUGUUGUAGAAUCCCACUACUAGUUGUGCCUUAAUUUGAGAACUCAGGCAUAAAACAGUUGCUAACAGUGUAGCCAGCAGUGCCAUUUUUUGUUCUUGACACUGAUAGUGGUAUGCUUGAUAGUGAUAUGCAUCUAUGUUACUACAAGAGUUAUAUAAAGAAAUCCAUCUCCAUCACCAGGAAAACUAGCAAUUUCCAAGGCAAUAACGGCUUCAAAACAGAUAGCACUGGAAACAAGAGGAAAUGCCAAAUUUCGAGUUAAGUCCAUUCUUCACUCACGGUUAGAAGGUGUGGCCUAGAUCCCUAUUUCAUGCUUGCUUAGAAAGGAGAUUCAUUUCCCAUGACAAUAAAGAAUGAUUUGCAUAUGAUCUUAAAUGACUCUCAUUUACUAGUUACUGGACUGGCCAAUUCCUUGUUUUCAUCACAGACAUGCAGAAAUCCUAGUUGUAUAAGCUCUAACCCCAGUUUUUAAAGCUGCAAUUUCUUUAUUUAAUUUCUUGUUUGCUACUCAGAUGUUUAUCAUUCAACUUUUCUUAGUUUCAACUGAAAUGCAAGAAUUAUGGCAAAGAAUGACUGUCUUCUUGUUCUCUUUUUCCCUGCGAGAAAAGAAGGCUUUGAUAGGGCAAUUUAACGUAACAUAGUGGUUGACUAAAUAUUUUUUUCUAAUAUGCAUGCAAGCAAUAGACUAUUGCCGCAAUAGUAUGCUGAAGAUGAAGAACUUUUCAUUCAAGCACUUUAUCUUCAAUUCUCAAUUCUCCUGUCACCAUUAAUCAAAUUUUGCAUAUACACACUUGAUUGACAAUAUAACAGUCCAAUAGUUGAUGGAUUUUUAUUCUUGUAUAAUAAUUCAUUUUCCACUUCCUUUCCUCUCCCCUUUCUUGCUUUCUCAUACUAAAUGGAGGUGAUGUUAGCACUCUCUUUGAACCUUUUUCAUUUAUAUGAAAAGACAAGCAUAUCUCUAUAUUUCAUCGAAUUAUAACAUGGAGAAAGUGGAUGGUUUUAAGUUUAACUAAAAUUAUAUGGAUAUUUGUGAAAUUUUUCAUGUGAUUACAAAAAUCGAUAAAAGUGUUAUUGACAAAUAUAACAGUGCCACUAACAAUUUCUUUGUUCUGCUUUUAUAUGUUAUUAUCUUAGUCCAUAUAUUGUUAUUUCAAGGGUUUUUAACAGGUCUGCGAUGCGAUGUCCUUAGAUGUUCUGAGCCGCACAAAAAGAAAAAAUUGUUAUCUUAAUGUUUACACCUUGUGAAUACAUUGGCAAUCCACAUGAUUUGACCGCAUAAUUCAGCAAAUCUGCAAAAGAAAAUCGAUCUGGUCACGAAGGGCUGCCGAUUUUUAGGGAUUGGGACAUCCAAGUUGUUGAACUUUAACUUCAUCAAGUAUAUUUGAUGACCCAUAUGAUUUUUUUGUCUCCAUGACUCCAUGCUGUUCGUUUCUUUUGAUAUAUAUAGUAAUUGCAUCAACAGAUAGCUAAAACCAAAUUCAAAGUUUUUUUUUUCUUUUUUGGUCCCUAUCUUUCGUGUGAACCUCUAAUUUGUCAUCUGAUUGCGUUUUAUUCUUGCAAUCGAAGAAAAUCAUUGAUUUCAAACUUCAUACCAGAGAUUUCAAAGAAGAAUUUAUUUCGAUUUUAAUUCCACUAAUUUGAGAUGUUUUUAGCUCCCCACUGCGUCAGAUAGGCCUGAGACGCUCAAUGGAAUCAUGUGUUGCUGGAAUCUUUUGUUUAACACUGCUGUAACUCUUCAACAACCACCUCUCUAGGUCCUGUAAUUGCUGUCCAAUCUACUUCUUUGAUACAGACAUCAAAAGCCCAACCUUCUCAAAUUCCCAGUCUACUCUUCAGGUAACAAUAAUGAGUGUAAUUUCUGAUAUUCUUGCUCCCUGCUUCAUACUCUUAUCUCCAAACCCAUACUACUGUUUGUAUAUUUAUAGCAACUUGAGAUACACAUGAGCGGACAAAGUAAUACACAGCAUGCUUGAACAAAAGAUGGGGUACCACAUCAACCAUUGACUGAAACAGGUAUUAACCAAUGAUGCUUGGCCACCUAGUUUAUUAAAUAGCAGAAAGAAACAUCAACAAUCAACUCUCAACUUCUAUUACAAGACAUACAAUGUAAAAUUCAGGAACAAAACUGCAUUAGCACUCAGUGAAAUACUACUGAUGAUUGUAGCUCCUAAUCAUAUUCUCAGCUGUGUCACUAUUUACGCUAAAGAAAAUGACACAAAUAUACAUAUCUAUAAAGAAGUAAUUCCCCAUAAUGGGCAUUGGAGUAGGCAUGAUUUACACUCUGUUGUCUCAAAAAAGAGUGGAGAACAACUCGUUAUGUGACCCGCUUCUCAACUUAUGCACGCCUACUUCAGCUUUAAUGAGAAAAGCUAAACCAUCUUUCUCGUUCACUCCAUUGAUGCAACUGAAGAUGGAUGAUUAGCCACAAGCUCGUAACCAUCUCCAUUGUCAUUCUCUUCUUCCUCUUCCAUAGCAUCAUCUUCUCUAUUUUCGUCGGCAUUCUCGCUCCCACCAUCUUCUGUUAAUUGUUGAUGCUGAGGCUGCUGCUCUUGCUGCCCCAUCAUUUGCAUUAAGAUGUGUUCUGGUUCUAGAUUAUUACCAGACCACUCGGCAUUCUGUUCAACUCCUUUAGACUUUUUUUCAUAGAUAGACUCGAGCAAAUGGAAGUAGGGACAUGUUUUUGAACUUUCUGGCCUCCGCUUAUGGCUCUCCCUUACCCUCUUGUAGUAUUUAUUUAUAUUCUCCCACUUUUCUUUGCAUCUCUUGGCACUUCUAUCAUAACCAAGCUUCUUCAUAGCAGAAGAGAUCUCCUCCCACAGAGGCCCCUUGAGUCCAUUAUCUUGGAAUUGCAUGCCAAGAUUGGUUCUAAGCCUAACCAAAGCUUCAACUUCUGCUUUAGGCCAUCUUGAUGUAGUUGCCUGAAUGGAACUUUCACCAAAACCAUUCCCUCGUUUGUCAACAUCGAACGCAUCCUCUUGUCUGCCAAUACUAGUGCCUAACUCUUGAUUCUCAAUGGUCCCAGGUGUAAAAGGACCUGGAGUCUGCACUUGCUGUUUGUCCGGAUGUUUCUCAGAUAUUGGAGUUGCGGCCUCAGCAAACUGCCCAGGAAUUGCUUGCUCCGAGAUCUUUUGCAAGAAAGCCAUGACAGUUGCAUCUCUUGCUGCAGAAAUUGCUCGCUCAUUGGCUAAAUAUUCUUGUUCUUUUCUUAUUCGAUCCAUCUGUUGCAGCCUCCAUGCUUCUUCCCUUGCUAUCCGAUCCCUCUCACACUUUUCCAGUGCCGCUAGAAGCUGGUUCUGUAAAUUCUCUUGCUUCUCCAAUAUUUCUUUCAUUAACUUCUCAAAAUAAUCAGAUAAUUUCCUCUUUUUCUUAACGCUUCCUUCUGACUCCCUCCCUGAUGAGGAGGUUGUUGACGUUGACGGAGUCACGAAUUCCAUAUUCGGAUUUUCGCUUGGAUGAGGCACCAUAGAAUCAAGACUUCCACUUGUGACUUUUAUGAUUGUUGGCGCUGCUAUGGUGGUUGUCUGUGUUGUUUCCGCCACAUGAGUUUGGAUUUGGCUUAAAGGAGGCGAUGGAAGUGAGGGUUGGUUAUCAAACCUCUCUAAUUGCUCAAAGAAUCUAUAAUUUUUCCCGUUCUGCCGGCCAGAUCGACAAUCUUUCGUUCUUUUAUGGUACUUAAAUAUAUUCUCAAACUUCUCCUUGCAUUUCCUAGCACUUCGAUGAUAUCCAAGCUCACCUAAUUUCCUGUCCACCAAAAGAUCCAUAAAUCCAUUUGGACACGCAAUCCAACUUCUAAUUCAAUAAUCAAACUCAAGCCAAAAAAAAACUCUUCCACCAUCAAAGUACAUGCUAAAAUAACAAACAUCCAAUUCAGUAAGGCACUUUCACACGCUGAUGAACCCCAGAACAAUUCAAUGAUUAAAUUAACAUGUUUUAAGCAGCAAAACACCAACCCAAUUAUCAAAAUCAAACAAAAACAUCGAAUCUAACAAAACCCAAUUGAAUUUGAACCAUAAACUCUCCCAUCCCAUUCAAAAGUUCACAGCUUUUCAGCUGACGAAAUGAGGAAAGUAUCCCAUCUAAAACUAAACUUCUACCAAUCCAACACAUCAAACAAAUCCAAAAAUCUUGAAACCAGUGACGGAAGAUUACAGUAGCAUACCUGGUAACUUCAUCCCAAAGAGGAGCUUUGACAGUGGAGUCCCGAAAUGCAAGGUCCAUAUCAGCCCUUAUCUUCAGCAAAGCUAAAGUUUCUUCACGUGGCCACCUAUUUCCUCCUUCCCCUUUUCCUCUCUCCUCCUCCUCUCCUCCUCCUCCUCCUCCUCCUCCUCCACCGCCAUUUUCCGCCCCAACCAUCACCUCCGCCGCAGCCUCCAAAGGGGCUGCCCCACUCCCACCGCCACCGCCUCCGCCAGAAUUAUCUAGCAUGACUUCACUUGAGAUGGGUAGUUUUAUGAAAGGUAAAAACUUUAAGUUGUUUUUCUCUAAUGGGCUUUGUUUUGAUAUUUAUGGGUUUAGUAAAGUUUUAUGCUUCUCACCCAAUUUACUAUUUAGCCACUUUUUCCCCCUUUUUCUCUUUAAAAAAAAUUCCCUUUUUUUUUUUUUUUUUUUUUGGGCUGGUGAAGUGAAAGUGAAGGAGAGAUGAAUUUAUUAGGGUUUGGGAAAAGAGAUAAAGACUCAAGAGGCAAGGUUCACGUGUGGGGUCAUGGUAGAUAGGAUUGAUGAUAUGUCAAGAAAUGGUUGGUUGGAGUGGUAAAAAGUUGAAUUUUCCAUUUUCACUUUUACUUUGACUUUUCUUACUAAGCAAUUAAAUUUUGACGGCUAGGCAAUUUGCAAUUUUUUUUUUUUUUGAUGGGGUGGGGCGGUAAUUGGGAUAUUGUUGGUGGAGUCCAUUCAAAUCAAUCUAUUACUACUAUUAGGGGGAAGACAACUAGGAAUAUAAAGUUAUGGAGUGUUGGGAAAGGGUGUGAGGUCAAAAAGGGUGGAAAGGGAAAGAAAGGAGAAAGAUGAAAAGAAGAAGUUGGAAUGAAGAUAAUUUCGCUUUGAUUUUAACACUUGGGGUCAUUGUGGAGGCAUCUAAUCCAAUCUACGUGUGGAAGAUAGAGAUGAGAUGAUGAGAGGGAGAUUUGUCAUACAUAUCUUCUUAUAUUAUUGUAGUAUAGUUGUAAUAAACAUUGGUGUGUCAUGAAACUUUGAGAGUAUUUUAUGUCAAGUUGAGAUUUGUAGGAUUGUCAUUGUAUGGGGUGGGAGAUAAUAAGUCGGCCCACAUGGCCGCAGUUUUGCCUUUGAAGCUUUGCUUCUUUUCACACUUUUGGUUUGCCAAUUACCAUAUGGUCUUUGAUCCAUUUUGGCAUGAGUGACAUCCGAUAGAGACUAAUUUGUUUACAUUUUUUUAUUCUAAAUUGCCUUUUAUGCGGACAAGGGAUAAUACCAGGUUCCUCUUAAUAUCACCGGACAGCUUUAAGGUUUUAAAAACAUCAUUUACCUUUUUUUGCUCUUGUUGUUUGUGUAAUAAAAUUUCUAAAUUAUCCUUUCGCUCAUUCUGCUAAAUAAAAAUACUUCAUAACCACUUUGUUUGCUCCAAGAAAAUCCACCGCCUGAAAAACAAUCUCUAGCAGUACCACUAUAUCACAAAUCUAUAGACCACGACAAUAUAAAUUUGAAAAAUAAAAUAGAUAUUUGUAAAUUCAUAGAAAUCUAAGUUCAAAUUUGGAAUAUAAGUGAAAAAUAGAGUCUAGAAGUGUAAUUUUAUCUAAAUUUGACAACACUAACAUAGUGAUCAAUCAUUAGUCAACGACAAUCAAAGUCCAUUGAAGGGCGGUUAGUAAUUAUAGAGGUGAUUAAACAUGAUUAGAGGACUGGAGAUAAUCAAAACUACAUCAUUUUGAGAUGGAUUUUGAUAGAAAUAAUGGUUGAAAUUGACGAAAGGAUUAGAAAUAGACAUUAUCAUAAAUUAAAGGACUAAAAAAUGUACGAAUAUUAGUUGGAGGGUUGAAAGCGUACGAGCUUAGUAGUUCGGGACUUUCUAGAUUUUUUAUCCAAAAAGAAAUGUUACUUACAUACCUCUAUUUGAUAACCACAGAUCCUCGCUACAUUAAAUCGUCCAAAGACGCAAUAAAAAUUAAGAUGACAAGAGUACGUGAAUAUCAUUUUAUCAAAGAAAAAAAAAGGUAAAGGCUGCACAUUAAUUUUUCUUGCGCCUUUUUUUAGAAUUAAUAUUCUAUACACUAACAGUAUAUAUACGUACUCAAUUGGAUGAAUGAUAUAUAAUUUGAAUUUAAAAUCCAAAUUUUAUACAUGUAUCACGCAUUUAACCGUCAUAAUAUGUACACUGUUAGAGUAUAUAAGAUUUACUCUUUUUUUAACGCGUUCAUGUAUCAUGCUUGGAGGCUUGAAGCUGCUGGUAUUUGGGUCCAAUGAACUUGAUCAAAUCCAACCAUUGACUUUAACAAAUUCUCCAAAAGCCAUCAUGGCCUGGACAGAAAAAGGGCUGGACUAAUCAUUUGAGCUAUCUUUAUAGAAAUGGUUUUGGAAAUUCAUAAUCUAAAGCCUUAAGGUGUCAUUUUCAAUUUCCAUGUUGCCAAACAGUGAAGUAAUUAUCUUUGGCCCCUUCUUUUCUACCACUAGAAGUGCAAUUUGUGAUGGCUGUCCUUAGAUAUUUCCAACACGGUACAAUUUCAAUUUGUGAGGGCUGUUUUGAUUGUGACCGGCCAAUUUGUGAGGCUUCUUUACCUCACUUUUCCUUUUGACAACUAUAAUAGGGAUUUUGACAUUCCCAUUGAAAGUGCCAAAGGAAAUUAUUACAUGAUAAUUGUGACUGUUGUUCAUUCUUCUGAAGCAUGAUUUUUUUUUUUACUUUGGUCAAGGAUAAGGACAAAGAAAGAAAGGCAUAAAGUGCGAGGUAAAGAGAAUUGACCAUUCUUAAUCAAUCAAGAAAACCAUAUAUUUUUACAAAAAAAAAAAAAGAACCCUAUUUUCAUUGGCAAUUCGUGCAUCACACAAUGCCUUUCAAGCCACUACUUCAAUUAGCAACUUUAAAGUUGUUACUCCACUUAGUGACUUUAAAGUUCCACCUUCCUAGUGCAAUGCUAUUGAGCAAUACUUAAGACCACAUAACUCACAAGCAGUUAUAAAAUUGAACAUGGAUUCUGGGAUAACUUACAGUAGUGUUGUGAGGAAGAAGCCAAUUGUCCAAAUUUAGCUUUAUACUUUUGUCGGUGUAGGUUUAUAUUUUUUGAAAGAAAAUACUCGUAUAUGUUAUUUUAUACCAAAGACUUUUUUUUUUCAUUUUUUGGUAUUACUAACAAUACAUGCUGCAUCUUUUGGUUUUUAACUUCUUAAAACCCCUUGUAGUUAUUGAAUGUGAUUUGUCAACUAAAGAUUGAACUAAUUACCUUCAUUGAUCUAAGUGUCACAUGUAAUUAUGGCAAUAAAUAUACACUGUGAAGCUAAAUUGGUUCAAACUUAAUUUGCCCCUAACACAAAUUUUCAAUAUGUUUGGUGAAAAUUUGGUAGCAUAAUCACGGAUCCAAAAGUGUUUAAUAACCUUUAGACAACCUUUUAGGUAUAGUGAUUAACCUUUUGAUGAGGGGUUUAAGGAUUUAAUUUUCAAGAACCAUACUCUGAUGUUACAAGAGCUUAUUUUUUAGUCUGAAUUUCAUUGGAAGUUUAUUUAUUUAUUUAUUUUUACAUUAAUUUCAUUUGAAGUUUUGAUGCUCCCCCUUGAAUCUUUCCUUCAAAGUUUAACUCGCAAAAAUUACUGUAUGGCAAAAAUAACUCCCUUGAAUCUACCAUAACCCGUUGUAUUUUUUUUAAUUUAUACUUUUUCAAAUUUGAAAUUUAAUUUUGCUUCAAUGCAUUAAAAAUCCCAUGAAAAUUGCACUUUUCAACCACUAGAAUGAAUGUAAAGCCCCUUUGCUUGCAUAAAUAGAUUCCCUCAAACUUUGGUAAAACUCAAUCCAUGAUAUUAUAUCUUCAAUUUACAAAAGGAAAAAAUUCAGCAAGUUUCCCUUGAGGUUUUUUUACAAUUUCAAUUGGUACCCUUAAGGCUUCAAAUAUCAUCAUGUUUGCUUUCUUUUAUAUUGAGUUUCAAUAUAACAAAUUCAACCCGUCGACACAAAAAAACUUCAUGCAAAAUGCUAACAAAUACUUGUCCAAAUUACCUUUGCGUGUGACGCACGUUAAAUUCAAUAUAACAGAAUUAACUAAGAAAAAGAUUUGUGAGGCAAAAAAAAAAGAAUAAAAAGUUAAUUACUUGCCAUAGACAAAAUCACUUUUUCUUUUUCCCUUGUUGAAAGAAAAAUUUUAAACUUUAUUAGGUGCUAAAAAAUUUUAAACCUUGGGAGGGAGAAAAUGAGAAUCGGACCUGUUAAAGCAAGUCUCAAAAACGAGCGCACGCAGGUUAAAUUAAACAGGAACAGAUUUGGUGCUCGUUGGGCCGUAGUGCAUGUCAAAUUGGUUGGCCAAGACACGCCCAAAACCCAUGAAGAAUAUGGGCUUAAAUCAUCCCACCACGCUUUCUAAACCCAUUCACUCUGAGUCAAAACCAGUCCAUCUGCAACCGUUUUUCGUUACUCCUUCCGCCCAACUAUUUUGUUACAUUUCAAGAAUUUAACUGUUUAAAAAUAGCAAUUUGAUUGUGCUGUUUGUAUUUUUUUUAAUUUUAUUUUCAUAAAUUCAAAUUUUGAAUUUAAAUGAUGACAUGCAUAUGAUUAAAGGAAGGAAUUAUAUUAAAAGAAAAAAAUUAAAAAUUGUUAACUUUCUCAAUGUGACAAAUAUUUUGGCACAUUUCAAAAUAGAAAAUAUAACACUCUUAAUGAAACGAAGGGAAUAAUAUCUUCAAGGCUUGGCUAACGGAUACUCAAAAUUGCAACUGAGAGGAGUCUCAAAUUAACAAUACAACUACGGCACCGAUUUUUUUUUUUUUCCGUAGCACCAGUAAGAAAAAAUCAUCCUUUUUUUAGUAGAAAUAAGAAAACCCUCAAAAUUCAAUUAUUUGGAUUAUUUACUCCUUCUGUUCCACAAAGACAGGCCUACUUCUACUUUGUACAGUUGAAGUAGUUAAAACAUUCAUUAUUGCUUCUUAAUUUCUUGAUAUACCUCUCGAGUAGUACUAGUUUAAGUGUUAUAUUUAUGAAUUUUUCUAACAAGUGCCCCCUAGAGGGUUUCGUUAACACACUUAUCAUUCACCUAAUCUAUUAUAUAUAUAUAUAGACACACACAUACUAACAAUUGUUAUCCUCCUUUACAUUUAUAUAAUUUUUCUAUUUAAUCUUAUCUACCCUCUUUUGUAUUUAUUUAUUUUUUUCUAAUUUAUCUUAUAUUUUUAAAAAAUAUAACACAUGAAAUAUAUCUUGGACCGACCUUAUAUUUAUUAUUGCAACUAGAAUACCUGACUCAUGGAGUAGCAUAAAUACCAAUAAAGAUGCGCAUUAAAUAUGGAUAUAAUAGUAAAAUGAUAAACUACGUACCUUUCUGAAAGAAAGAAAGUGAGCAUAAAAUAAAGGGAAAAGGAAAGCGAAGCUAUAUUCGAUGAAGGGCGUGUCAAGUAGGGAAACCAGUAAAAUUUAUGCUCCACUCUUUUCUUUUUGAGUCUCUAUAUUCUUUACGUUAUGUUUUCCAUCUUUUGGACUUUUUUCCCUGCCUUAGGCCCUUAGCCGGUUGCCUUAUAAACCCUUAAAAAAAGAAAGAAAAGUAGGCACUGUGGUAAAUAUUAAGCUAAAGCUUAUUAUUGACACUUGACAGAGAAGACGAAGAUGGGGGUCACGAAAGAGCAGGUUGAAUCUUCCCUCAAAUCCAAACUCAGCCCUUCUCAUCUUGUAAGCCUCUCCGUUUAUAUCUCUAUUUUAUUUAUGCUAUACUGUAUUUGCAUGCAUCUGUUUAUAUGCCUGUCCAAGUUUCAAUCUUUUUUUAGUUAACAUGUAUUAAAUUUCAUCAUGGAGUAGUGUAAUUUUUUUUUUUGUUGUAAAUGGUUAUUGCUUAAAUGGGGGUUUUUUGGCUUAUUGAUAGAAUGUUAAUAGAGUAUUUCAGGCAAGCAUCCGAAAGGGUUUUUAGUUUUGGUGCUUUAAUCUUGAAAAGGGGAGAGAGAUUUGGAACUGGUUGGUCUUUGGGCUGAUUUUUAAAUGAGUUUUUAGUUUGAUUAAAAGGGCAUGUUGAUUUGUGCAAUUUUCUCUUUGGUUUAAUAGAGUUUGAUUCGUGGUAUGAGAAAUUAGGAUGCAAUUUAAUAUGAUUGUUAAAGGAUAGGUGGUGCUGAUUAUCGAACUAUUCCACUAACUUUUUGCAAUCAAUUACAGAAGGAUGUAGCUCUGUUCUUGCAUACGUUUCUUAUCGUGUUUAAUAUGAGGUUCAUUUUGCUUGGAUAUAGUGGUAAAUGUGUAAGGAGCUGGUCUUUCAUAUGUUCUUGUGAAAAACUCUCAAAUCAUAGCUUGGCAAUUGUUUCUGAAGAACUUUCUGAAAAGGUAUUUUGUUCAGCACAUUAGUGCUUUAGGACCAGUGAUGUGGGGAUUAGGGUGACAUUCUCAGUUUUUAUCCAUUCAUCAUAAAUGGGUUUGGUUGACUGAAAAACCUGAAUGCAUGUGAAUUGGUCACCAGUUGCAGUGCAGUGGAUUUGUGGAUUUUGAAUUGUGAUCUCUCUAAUCUUGUGAUCUAGCUAAGUCCUUUUUAGCACAACAAAAGCUUGUAAAACCAAAAAGAUUAACUUGACUGGGAAGAAAAUGUGUAUAAACAACAAUAGAAAGAUGAAACUUCUCCAACUCAUCACUGCACUAUCUAAUGCUGCUCUAUCAUCUUUGUCCCCUUCUUCUUAGAUAAAACUGAUGAGGGAAAAUAUGUGGUUCUUAGAACUUGUCUUUGACUCCAAUGGGAGACAUAUGGUUGAGGUGUGGAUGAAGCACUUGAAUUUUAACUGUUCUAUUGAGGGGAUGGAUGAAUGAAGUUUGGAUAAUCAGGUUCACUUGAAUAGGAUUUGACUAAUACAGAAUUAGACAAAGAAAAUAACUAGAAAAGAUCCUGAAGUUAUAUAACUUCGACGCAUGAUAUUUGAUAACCCUUUGUAGUGUAUGGCUCCAUUCUGAACCAGGCUAUUUCUUGUCAUUAGCAUCUGAAGCUGAAUUCAUUGCAAAGCAUGGGAUUUUGAGGCUUUCUUUAUGAUUUAGUUAUUUGAUGUCUCCCUCACUCUCACAUGAGUGCCAAGUAAAUGGGAUGCAGCCAAAAUGCCAGUAGCCCUUGAAAGAUGUUAAAUUUUCUGGUCAUAUAUUUUAAGAAAGGUGAUAAAGAAAUUUUCAAUAAAAAGCUACAAGACUUUUAUGAAUUUCAUUUCCAAUUCCCAAGUCACGCUUUACUGCAUAUAUGUGCUCCUUGAUGCCCAAAUUCUGAUAUUUAGGGGUAUUUGACUUAUACUUUGGACCACCAUUUUCAUGCUGCCUACUGGAACUUUCAGAUUUGUUACUUAAAUAGGUCACAAUUAGCUCUUACUUUUUUUUUCUUGGUUGCUACAGUUCUGUGUUUAUCCUGAUCUUUAUGGUUUUAAAUUGUGGGAGUCCAGUUUUAAGCCACUCCAGCAGUUAAGGUUUUGCUUAUUUUGACCAUUUUUAUCACCUUAACCAUGGAAUGGCCAUCAUGAGUAAUAGUGCAUGUCUGCUGAAAUAAAUAUUUAUUCUUGGCUAGGCUUCUUCACUACAAACACAAUUUCCCAUGCAUUUCCUAAUAAAAGGGCUAAGUUGGUAAGAGUUGCCGUGUUCAAGCGCACAAAGCAUGAUUCUCUCCCAUUGUCUAGUUAAAAACUUCAUUUAGUAGCUUUGUUUGUCCUUUUUUCCACCUUUCUUCUUUGCCUAGAUGUGAAUUAUAUUGUUUCUCUAACUUAAUUUGUCUGACAAUUUAAUUUCAGGAAGUAGUUGAUGUCUCUGGUGGGUAAGUUUCUUUCUUUUGAAAAAUUUCAUGAGAUAUGUUUAUGAAUUAGUUAUUCAGUGACAAAAUUGUUUAUUCAUCAGAUGUGGUGCGAAGUUUACCGUUGAGAUUGUGUCUGAACAAUUUGAAGGGAAAAGGCUACUCGAGAGGCACAGAAUGGUGAAUGCUGCAUUGUCUGAGGAGUUGAAAGAUAUUCAUGCUCUCUCUAUAACAAAAGCUCUCACUCCAAAUCAGUGGGAACAGCAGCAAGAAUCUGAAAAAUCUCAAGCAGCAGUUUGAAGUUUGCUUCUGACGGCAUUUGCCAGCUAGAAAAACCUGAUGUCUCGUGUGUUACACUACAGCUUCUUUCGUGAAAAAGACUGCACCUUUAGAUCCUUCCUACAAAUCUUAGCAUGAUGCUCCUCAAUUUAAAUCUUGAAUACCGUUUGUCAUUUUGGUAGUAAAUCCUCUAGCAGCGAUAAAGCUUCGUUUGAUCGGAAUAAACUUGGCUUAGUGCAUAAAUUUAACAGUCUGGUCUUUGAGUUAUGACGAAGACUUGAAUAAAUUCAAUGACAUUUGACAGGUGAUGAUGAUCUUUUGGCUUGCAUUAAUUGAUGGUCUGGAUUUCCUCCUUUUCAGAUUAUGGAGUCUAACAGCAAAUUAGCAGUUGCAACUUGUGUAGCACUUUCAAUUCAGAGUCAGACGUUAAAAAAAUAUCAAUUCUCAAAUUUGGCACCUUAAAAGUCAUAAUAUAAUCGGUCAAAGCCCUAUGAGUUUCGAAAUUUCUUUUCCUUGAGAACACAACUUCAAAUGCAGGGUAAAACUUGCCUGAUCAAAAGUAAAAUUUGCUUGGUGGGCCAAUUGUUACAUUACGUGGCUCUCCAAAAAAAAAAAAAUUCAGACGGGUGUGUAGUGCACCUGUCUGGUUCGAUGAUGCUUCAGUUCCCGUCGGUCUCCCUAUAUGUCCAGUUGGACCCUCUCUUAGAAUAGACUAAAGUAGGAGUAGAAGUAGGUGUAAAGUAGAAUAUUGCCAAUAGUCAGAUUAUGAAGUCUAACAGCAAAUUAGCAAUUGCAACUUGUGUAGCAUUUUCAAUUAGGGUUAAUCUUUUCUAUACUAACAGGAGUAAUCUUAUGCUAUACACUGUUAGUUUUAAAUGAAUGACAAUUAUACAAAAUUUAAAUUUGAAAUUUAAUUUUUACACAUGAGUCAUGAAUUUAACGAUGAGAGUGUAUACACUAUCAGUUUAUAUAAAAUUUACCCUUUCAUCAAUUAAGAGUCAGAAGUUCAAAAAAAUUAUCAAUGCUCAAAUUCGCCACCUUAAAAGUCAUAGUAUAAUCAGCCAAAGGUCCAUUUGAGUUUCGAAAUUUCUUUUCCUUAAGAACGCAACCUCAAAUGCAGAGGUAUGAAAAUCAGCCUGAUCAAGAGGUACAUUGGUGUGGGCUGUGGCGUGCAUGAAAUCCAACUACCCAAGUACAUGUUGUACAAAAGCCUUCAAAGCCCGUGAAAACUUGUCCAUCAAAAUAAGGGUCAGAAUUUUCUAAUGGUACAAUCUGAAAGUAAUAGUCCUCAAAUUUUGAGCAGAUGGAUAGAAAAGUCAGAGUUGGGACGGUGGCACACCGUGCAAGAUAAAACUCUCCUGCCAAAGGUUCUACUUCCUCAAACCAUCCAGUGUCUCAAAAGGUUCGGGAAGCUAAAACGAAGAUUCAAACUGAUUUGGAGCAAUGGCCACAAAGCUUAUCCACCCUCCAAAAUCUGCUCCAAAUUUGUUUCAUCCAAUAGCAAGCAGUGCCGUAAAGAUAAUGAGAGCUCACAAAGCUCUCUCAGCCACUCACUCAAGUCACAAAAACUGCAGUAGAUUUAGUGAAUAUCCCUUUGGACUAAGAACCAUUGUUUCAACCAAAGCUACUGAAAAAAGUUUUGGAGUUGAAGUUCAGGAUGAGAAGCAGACAAUUCAGCAAACUAAACAAUCCCUUUAUGAUGCACUACAAGGUAUGCUCUCCUGUUUUGAGACUUCUAGUUGAAUCUUGAAAUCCCUUAGUUGUCGAUUGUUUUCUUCGCUGCGUUGCCUACCUUCUGAAAUGAAUGUAUGUCACUCAAGGCAUCAACAGAGGGAUUUUCGGAGUUUCAUCGGAAAAGAAAGCCGAGAUUACAAGACUGAUAGAGCUGCUGGAGUCUCAAAAUCCAAGUCCAGAACCAACUAUGAAUAUAGAGAAGGUGAGGUCUGUACUAGUUGGAAUCAUGUAGGAAUCGCACUUGUUGCUGGUCUAACUUUGUAUUCAAGAAUCUUAAGUUGGUGAUAUUGUCAUCGUUUGGAAGAUGGGAGGAACUUGGAAGCUUGUUUACAGCACCAUCACCAUCCUGGGGUCAAAAAGAACCAAACUAGGAUUGAGAGACUUCAUUAGCUUGGGAGAUUUCUUCCAGGACAUUGAUACAGUUGAGGUAUAUCUACACUAUUUAUCAGUAAGAACUUUUUUUUUCAUUUUUAAACCAUAUCAAUUAAUUGAACUACGAGGAGAGGAAUACCUUGAUCAAAUGCAAGAUAAUCCAACUUGUUGAGGGGUUGCCUUAAUCGCUAGGUAAUGUUUUGUUCAUCUAUUCCUGUUUUUGGUGGUUCAUUAGUUUAUUUCUUAAAGGUAAGGCUGUCAACAUGCAUCGCCCGUAUGUUUAUGCAAGCGCUCAAAAACCAAAACGAUAAUCCAAAUAAGCUUUUGUCAGACCCAUAAUAUCUUUGGCCUUUGAACUUGUACUGCUGGUCUUUGAGCCAGAAAUAGUGCGAUGAGGAAAUCAUGUUCGUAAAUUGUCCAUCAAUAGAAUUAUACAGUUCCGGGCUUCUAGCAAAUUUUCGCUCAUCUUCCGUAAAAAUAUAUAGACCAGAAACAAGUAAAAUUCAUCUUUUAGCCUCCAUACUGUUCAGCAUUGCUCAGGCAGUUGGCCUUAUUCUCUUACUCUAGAAUCUUAUUAAACUCUUUCAUCUUCUGGUUGCAAAUGGAGGGGAAAGCAGUCAAUGUGAUUGAGUUCAGCGCUAAAGGUCUCAAUUUGUUCCGGGGGCAGCUAAAAGUUGAAGCAACUUUCAAGAUUGCUUCUAAAUCAGUUAAGCUUCCAUCUGCUUUUCCGGCUACUUUGUACUGCUGAAACGUUCAUUUUCUUGAAGCCUCAUUUUGGAUCUUGAAAUUUCGUUUACUGACAAAAUGUUAAACUAGUUCUCCAUGAAUUCAAGUAAUUAGCUCUUGUGAUUGUUGUUUAUAAAUCAUUUUUGGACUUGCUUUUAUUUCCCAAAAAUAAAUAAAAUAAAAUAAAAUCCUUUUCCAUAGUGAAUUGCAGGCCUUCAAUCAGGAACUUUGCAUUAAAGAUGCUAACCACAUUUAUUAUGUUUUGCUCACAGAGGGUUGAUAUACGGUAUGAAAAUUCUACAAUCACUCCUGAACAGGUAAAUAUAGUUCUAGUCCACCAUUAAAUUCAAAAGACCGAGCAGUAAAGAAAUGCUGUUACUUGAAUCUGCCUUUCAACCCGAAACUGUACUUACAAUGGAUGACUUAUCAGUGGCUUAUUUUCCAUGCAACAGCUGAUGAAUCUAUUUGAGAAAAACUACGAUCUUCUUCUCAGCAUUUUCAACCCAGAAGGCUGGUUGAAUAUCACGUAUCCUUUCUUAUUGGAUUCAAUAGAAAUAAAGACAAAAUAUUUCUUUUUUGGGUUCUGUAAUAUUUUGCAAAUGAGAAAAAACCAUAUGCUAAAAUGCUUCAUCCUUGACUGUUUUCCUAGAUAUGUAGAUGAAAAUUUAAGAAUAGGAAGGGAUGACAAGGGCAAUAUCUUUGUAUUAGAGAGAUCAUGAAAAGGGCAGUCUAAAUAUCAAGAAUUCUUGGAUUAACCUCCAUGUAACCAAUUUAUUUUUUUUUUUCCCACAGAAUGGAGUGAUUUUACUGUUAAAAUAUCAAAGCAGUUACAAAUGAUUAAAAAGUAUUGUAGCUUUAGCAGAAAGGAUUGAUUUAAACAGCUACAUUUUCUCACCAUCCGUCAACCCUGUUGUCACAAUCUGUGGCAAGAUAUAAACAGAUGUCUAAUGCGACAAAUUUCAAUCUAAUCACCUGAAAACUCUUUGAAGCUAAAGGAUCAGUGUACUGGAGAUGCUUUCAGAUCCUUCCGUUGUUUUUGCCUAAAAAGGGCAUAGAUAACAAUUCCUUUAGAACAACAGAAAUUCAAAUUAUGCUGGCUAUUCUUUUAAUUGCCUGUAGAUAACGACAAGGUGAAAGAGAGAAGGAAGAGAAAGAAAUAUUUAGUUUUGUGCACAUCAUUAGUGUACUAAACACUGUACAUGCUGUGUGCUUGCCCCUUCUCGUCUUCUUUCUGAUGACUAAUGAGCACUGACUCCAGUCUUUCGUGUAAUUGAUAUAUGAAAAUAUCAACACACUAAUACAGUGUUGGACCAAAGUGAACAGUUUGUAAACCAAAUAAGAUAAGAACAGAGGAGCUCCUAAAAAGUUCUUGAACCAAAAAAAAAGGAGGGACUGGCCAACAAACUCUCACUGCCUUGGGCAUUUUGAAGCGACUAUCAGUUUUAUCUCUUGCCUUGAAUUAGAUUGUUAAAAGACAACACAGCAGCAGCAAAAAUGCAAGAUUCAGUUCUUCUUAGGUAUCUAAAGAUCAAUAUUGGAUCGCUAGAGUACUCGGGCACCAUACAGAGAUUGCAAGAGUUCCUUUCCAAAGAAAAAUGCCCAAAGAUGAAGCACGACCGCAGCUCAUAUAAGAAUCGGUCCAAAGCUGGUUUCAUUUUUAAGGUAAGGCAUUGAGAACCACUUUCUUUUGUCCACAGUGAGAUUCAAUUCUUAUCUUUAUCUGGUAGACAUAGUCUAAGAUUAAAAUUCUGCAACCUCCUCCCCCUUAAUGUUGGAUGAAGCUAUUGUCUCAAAAAAUAAAAUCCCAAAACCCAAAUCCCACCAGUUUUUACCGCCAGCAUUCCAUUUGCACCCUCAUUCGUCUCAAUUUCCCUCUCUCUUAUGUAUUCCAACUCACUGUUCUCUGACUUCUCUCAUGAACACAGGAACUAACAAAUAAUAUCUCCUCUCCAGCCCAAAUUUCCUAAGCCUAUCACAUCCACAGAGCACAAAGACUAAAAGUUCAUUCAAUCAAAUCUGGACCAUAAAAAUAUAGCAACAUGAACAACCAUACCAGGCACCAUUGUCAGCUGCUUCCACAUCAAAAUCGAGGUGGUGAUGUAACCGGACCCAGAAAGAACCCACAGAUGAGGGGGGGGGGGGAGAGGAGGCAAAGGCCUGAUGAGUGACAAGCAGGGAGCUCACAUGAAGGAAGGAGACAGGAAUAAGGUUUCAAGCCAAGAAGUGACUUGUAGGUUUGAAGAUGCUGCUUCUCUAACUUGUCUGCAUGCCAAGGAUUGUGUUUUUGUAUGAACCCUCUCUGAGUAUGCUCGAAAGAGAAGAUAAACAGAAUAUAAUGGAGAGAAAAGGGAGGGAGGGGGAGAGAGAGAAUGUAAAGUAAGGUGGUUGGUUGUUAUGGAGAUCGAUGAUGGAGGAGCUGGUAACAGGAUGACGCUUGGAGGAAUUAGUCGUGGUGGUAAUCCUGGUGGACAAGGCAAUGGGAGGUGCAGUUGAGUUUUGGGUUUUUCAGUGUUUGAGAAAAUUGAUUGUUGAAGUGGCCAAAUUUACAAUAGGAAAGAUGAUAGAUAAUUGAAAAACUUAAAAAAAGGUACUAAACAAUUUGCUAAAAACUAAAAGGUACUAAACAAUUUUGCAAACUAAUAAGGGUGGUUGUAGAUCUUCUUAGUUUUUUCAAAUCAAUCGUAAGCUUUGCAUUGGUCUCUAUAAGAACCUCUGCCCUUGCAACAAGGGGGGGAAAAAGGCAAAAGAUCAAUGAGAUAAACAGUUCAAAGUUCUGUAAAAUGUUCACUCUGAGCUUAUAUGCAAAUGUUAUCAUGUGAAGAAAUAUGAAGACUGGCGAGGAGGUAAGGACCUUCAAUCUGGAGUCAAGGAAAACAAUAUCAUGGACAGAUUCCAACAGCAAACCAAUAUACAGAUUCAGGCCAAACUGUUGUUAAGUUACACUUGAAUGUUACAGGUUACCUCAAUUUGGUCAGGAUACAAUGUUUACCCGUAAACAACUCGAGCUACCAAACAGCUUAAAAACAGCGAAAUUCUUGGGACCAAAAAACCAAAGUAAUGCCAUAACAUUACCAAAAAAAAAAGCAGAUAUCUAAAAGGAACCCAUAAACGCGAGUACAUGGAGUAGAAAAAAAUUGGAACUAUGCUUAGGAUAUUGGCAAGUAAAGCAUCUACGCAUUGCAAAAGCAUUCAGGUUCCCCAGAAUAAAACUAGAUGCUUGAGAAGUUUGUGCUUCACUAUUGGGAAACUAUCUUCCCAUGCUUCUCUUACUCUAUUAAGAAUCAAAUUCAAAUGCCGUGGCGGUGAUAAACUGAUUACCAUGCAGUUGUAUUAUUUUAACCAAUCAUCAGGCUCAGUUCUCGGACCUUUUGACAUAGCAACAGUUUUUACAUAGCAAAUAGUUUCUUUUGUUUGUUAUCGAGCCAAACUUAGAGCUAUUUUAAGGAAAGGAACAGCCAUUUAAAAAAAUGCGGAACAGCCACGAAUUUCAAAAUCUUGAAAAAAAGAAAAUGAAGCUUGAUGGAAAGCAGCAGUUGGAUAAACUUCAUAUUGAAUUUUCCUACCAGGUUACUCAUAGUAAAACCAAUUUAGAUGUCUUACACUGUACAAAUUCUAAGUUGGGAAAAAAAAGGCAGUAAAAAAUGCUUAUGAAGCCACACUCCUACCACUUCCAAACCAGAGCAGCUAAAUAAAUUUCAUAUAUUUAGCCAAGACAGACAAAUCUUAUUAUGCCAAAUUAACAAUUAACAUUAAUCCUUUUUUUUAGGCUUUCUAAAGUGUCAAAUAAACCAAAUAUAUAUGCAGCUAUCUCAUGGUCAAAACCCUCUCAACAACUUAUAACAUGAAAAAUUCCUCCUCUAAUACAGCGAGAAUGCUAAAACAAGCAUGGUAUUAUUAGAAGGCUCAUAUGACUCCAACAAGAGAAGAUAAAGAACCAACCCCAAAUCAAGGGAACUCUUGUUACAUAUAUCAUUUCUGAUGUACUAUAACAAGUUAAGAUUGCAGUGAUAACAAGAAAUCCAUGAGCUACUAAGAUUUGCUAUACCAAUCCUUUACAAAAUGUUGCCUCGGCUAACUAUGUUAAAGGAAGAGGCAUGGCAAAACAUACCAUCUACCGUUGAAUAUUAAGCAUAGCCUUUGCUUCACUCUGCUCCUCGACUAAAUCAUCA
rnacentral:lncRNA from 1 species